rnacentral:lncRNA from 1 species
UUUUUUUUUUUUUUUUUGGGUAAUUUUCCUACUUCGAUUACUGCUGUAGUACACAUCUUUCCAAAGGAGAUGAUAAUCUGGUAUAUCAUUCUUUGGGUUUUGGGCCUUACUGUUAUAACCCAUAUUAAGUAUUUUUGGUCCUAUAGUAUACUAUUACUUUGGGUUUUUGUGCCUCACUUAGUGACAAGAACCCAACCAAUUGUAUUAUGAUGAUGUAUUUUACUGAUUAAAUAUUGUGCAAAAUUAUAAUGGUAAUAUUUAUAACAAGAAACGCAUUGGUAUUCACAGUAGUGGUUCCAACUAAAGUGUUAUCAAAAUUGUUUUUUUUCUUAUUCAAUAUUCGUGUUAAGGCUUUUAUUGGUAUUCACCACAGUGAAACCAAGUAUGUUUAUGAAUAUUGAUUUUUAUGAAUAUACCAUAAAGUAAAAUUGAACCAAUUUUUGUUUUGGAUUUAACGCUUUGUCCAUUAGUGUUUUGGUAGUUUGGUAUUUUCAAUUACUCUUUGCACAAGAUUUUCGAAUUAAUGUUUGCAUAAGCCUUACAGUCACAACCCAUAGUUAAUGUGUUUGGGACUUACAGUUGGUUUUUUUUGUAAUAGUUUAUAUUAUAAUGUCAUUUACUUCUAUGCCUAAUUCAUACUUGUAUGCUUAUGAUUAUUCUUUCGUUUUAAGACCCAUAUUAUGCAUGUGCCCUAGUUGAAUUUAUUAGAUUGUGCACUUCUUAUGAUUAAGAUGCAUUAUGAUAUUUUGAUCUUGUAGCAUUUAUUCGGCUGCAUGUUUAUUCCCUUAAGAUUCAUAUCAUCAUGAUUUGGUAUCACCACAGUGAACCAAUUACGAUUAUUGACAUUAUUUUCUGUUUUAUAUUCAUAUCAAGUUUUCUAUUGGUAUCCAUUGCAGUGAUUCCAAUAUGUUUAAUGAAUAUUAAAACUUCCUUGACCAUUCAUAUUAUGAUUUGGUUUUCACCACAGUGAACUAAAUAUUGUGUUGAAUGUUAGACUAAGUACCUUAUUGCCUAUUUAUUCACUUGCAUUAUUGAGCUACCUACAGGUAGAUCAAGCAUAUGUUACAUUGGAUAAACUUAAGGGGUUGCACGUAUUUGUGAUUAAAUGAGUGUAGGAUAUCCACAGAUACCAUGCUUAUUUUGAUCAUGUGAUAUGUCACCCAUUUAUAGUAUUACUAAAAAUCUUAGUCAUAUUUGUUUAAUUAAUGUGUUGACUAAUGUUGUGAGCAUGUUUAUUCUUCACGUUCUAUUAUUCUUAUAUUUCGUAUAUUUUAUAUGUUUUUAUCCUUAAGAAGACUAAUGUAAUGAACUAGAAUGAAUAAGUCUAGUUGAUUUUAGUGGGAGUUCUAGAUCUUGGCAUAUGUUUCCUUAUUGUUGAAUCUACUGUUAUUUUUUAUAAAAACAGUAAAAAAGAGAAAAUUAUGCAUUAUGCAUGAACUCGAUUGAACAUACAAAUUAAACUCAAUGUUUAUGUGAAUAAUUGUUGAUGAAUAAUAUUAAGAAUCAUUUUGGCACUGCUAGCUGAAAAGUUAAUUGUUGAACUGAUUACUAUUGAUAGUACUCAUAUAUAGUAUGCAUGAUUGUAUCCUUGAGUUUUCCAAUUUAGUUGUUAAAUCAAAGAAUUUAGGCAUGUUAGUGGAUGAUUACUUUGUCCUCCAAUUUGUUCUAAAUUUCUUGUCUACAUAGUAUGUUUAGUUUCACUAUUACACUAUUAAAGACAAGUGGAAUGUGAAUUAAAUGGCGAGACUACUAGUUCAAGUAUAGGCAAGACUUAAACAACAUUAUAAUCAUGUCACUCAAGUUUAAUUCAUGUUUCAAGAAGUUGAAUGAACAAUUCUCUAAUUGUGUUUGGAUAUACACUAUGUGUGUGCCAAUGCCAUUUAUGUGAAUAUGGAAUUUGUUUGAUAUAAAAGGUAAGCUUUUGGUUUUAGUAUGGUUCAAUCAAACUUAAUUGGUAUUCCCAACCCUUAGUGAAUUGAUUAUGAUUAAUGUUUAUCUUUAUUAUGGCAUAAAAGACUGAAUUAUACAUCUAGAUGAAAAGUAGACUAGUAAAAGAAGGGGUUUUCCCGAACCUUAACUUUACUAAUUUUGGUGUGUGUGUGUGUGUGGAAUGCAUUAAGUCAAGCAAACCAAACACACUAAGAAGAGCCAUAGGAAGUACGCUUCUUGAAAUAAUUCAAAUAGACAUAUGUGGACUUUUGAUGUUCCAUCUUUUAGUGGAGAAAAGUAUUUCAUUACUUUUAUUGAUGAUUUUUUCUCGUUAUUGUAUAUAUCUAUUGCAUAAUAAGUCUCAUAUGUAAAUGUUAUUGAAAUUUACAUAACUGAAGUUAAGAGACAAUUAGAUAGAAAGGUGAAAACUAUACGUUUGAUAGAGGUAGUGAAUUUCUUGGAAGGUAUGAUCGAUGACACAGGACAACAUCCCGGUCUUUUUGCCAAACUUCUAGAACGGUUAGGAAUUUAUGCCUAAUACACAAUGUCUGGUUCUCCAUGACAGAAUAGUGUAGCUCAAAGGCAUAAUCAAACUCUUAUAGAUAUGGUUUGAAGCAUGAUGAGUAAUUCUAACUUACCCAUAUCAUUGUGGAUGUAUACUUUAUGAACUGUAGUGUAUAUAUUGAAUUAGGUUCCUAGUAAGACAGUUACAAAGACACUUUUUUUUGAACUGUGAAAAAGUUGGAAACCUAGUUCAAGACAUUUACACAUUUAGGGUUUAUCCAAAAAAGUCCAAAGUGUAUAGAUUUUACUAUCCUAACCAUACCGGCCACUAGAAUUAUUGAAACUGGAAAUUAUUGAUUCGUUAUGAAUGACAAAAUAAGUGGGAGUGAUCAUAUCAAAGAGGUAAUCAUUAAAGAAAUUAUGGUACCAAUUUUGUUACCUCAAUUUUGUAAUGAUAUUAUUGUUACUUCUGUUGUUCCUCAUGUUGUUGCACCGCUUAACAACAAUAAACAACACGUUGAUCCUCAACCACUUAAUGAAAUUAAUGUCAUUGAACUGAAUGUAAACACACACAAGAAGUAGCAUUAAAAAGAUCUUAAAGAUCACGACCAACUACUUUGGAUGACCACGUGUUGUAUUUACAAGAAUUUGAAUUUAAUGAUCUAGUUACAUUUUCACAAGCCAUUACUUAUAGUAAUUCUGAUAAAAAGAUUCAUGUCAUGAAUGAAGAGAUAAAUUAAGUGUGGAUUUUAACUAAGUCUGGGGUUAGUAGAAUUGACUCAAAAGGUUCUGUUGAAUGCCAUAAAACAAGACUUGUAUCCAAACAGUUUACUCAAUAUGGUGGCAUUACUUUCUCGUGUGUGAAACCUUCACUUAUGUGUUAAAGAAGAAUUAUCUUAGAAUCAUUAUGGCAUUGGUGACUCAUUUCGAUUUAGAGUUACACCAAAUAAAUGUGAAAAUGAUAUUUUGAAUGAAAGUUUAGAUAAAGUCUACAUGGUUUAAUUAGCCACACAACUUCAUAAAGGAAGAUUAAGAACACGUAAUCUAUUUGUUAAAAAAAGUCAAUAUACAGACUUAAAACAAGCUUCUCGAAAAUGGUACCUAAUGAUUAAUAGUAUCAAACGUUUGGGUUUAAUGUACAUACCCAAAGUUCAGUGGGAGUAAGUUUAUUAUUUUGAUUAUGUAUGUUGAUGAUUUAUUGUUUCGCAGCAGUGAUUUUCGUUUAUGUAAACAUUUUUUCUGUCUAAACACUUUGCAAUGAAAGUUAUGGUGAUGCGUCAUAUGUGAUAGAAAUAAAAAUAUUUCGGGAUUUAUCACAAUAAUUGUUGGAACGUCUCAGAAAGAUUUCAUUAAUAAAGUUUUGGAUAGAUUUAAUGUGUUAAGACAUAAUUGUAAUGAUGUUCCAAUUCAGAGGGGGAAUAUUUGAGUUAAAUCAAGAUCCUAUGAAUGAAUUGGAACAAGAACGAAUGAAAGAGAAACCGUAUGCUCAUAUUUUAAGAGAUUUAAUCACCUUGAGGUGAUUGGUUUUACAAAUUCAGAAUUUAAUAGGUGUGUGGAUAGUUGAUAAAACAUUAUUGUUUCACCCACCAUAGAAGCCGAAUUUGUAGCAUGUUGUAAAAUAACUACAUGCAAUGUUGUAUAGUUGCAAAACUUUAUAUCAUGUCUUAAAGUUAUUAAUUUCUAAGUCGUUUGAAUUUUAUUGUAAUAAUGUUGCAACUAUAUGCCUUUGUAAGAAUGAUAGGUAUUCUAAUGUUUAGCACAUGAUAUAAAAUACCUAUCGAUUAUGGCUUAAGUUUAGAACAAGUGAGUGUCAAUGGAACACAUUAGUACACGUGUUAGUAAAUCCACUAACUUAAGAACUAGAAAUAAUGAUAUUCUAGAAUCAUGUUAACAAGUUGGGUUUUGAAUGUAACCCAUAACUUAAUGAUUUUGUGGAUUACUUAGUGCUUAUUAUUUGACAUUAUUUUGAGCUCAUUAUUAUUGAUUAAGUUCUGAAUUUUCUGUUUUCCAUUGUUUAUGUACAUGUAUGUGAAUGGAUAAUUGUUGACAGAAAUAGUCUUUUGCGAAGACAUUACUAGACCAUUAUUGUUACUUCCGCUUAUAGACCUAGUUAAUUAAAUUGUUGAUAUCGUAGUACAUGGAAGGAACCAUGUCAUUUAUGCGAUGUGGAACCGCCAUGACUCAUAUUAGUGGUUUAAUUAAUGACGGUAUUAUGAUAACCAUUUCGGAAACUAAUUUAGCUCUUAUUGCGCGCCUUAUGUAUUCUACAUUAAACCGUAUGUGAGAUUUUACUAUGGACCAAGUGGGAGACUGUUGGAAUUUCCACAUAUAAAGCCCAACCCAUAAUGUGGUCCAUGUACCUUUAACCUUGGUUUAAUAUAGAAAUAAGCUAAUUAGUAAUAGGUUAUGUGGAAGUCAUAUCUACCGUAGAUCUUAACUAUGAUGGACGGUCUAGAUCUAAUGGGCUUAGGUUUGUAGAUUUAGGUCCUCUCUUCACCUCUAAAAUUGGUGUAUGAUCUCCAUCCUCAUACACUUACUAUUACAACACAUAUUAGGGUUUUAAGAGGCAAGGAGAUAGAAACCUAAAUCUUGUGCAGUUUCUCAGAUCAUCAAUGGCUAUGGACAAAUAAAAGUAUGUGUAGUGAUUAAUUAUAUGAUUCAUGAUCCUUAUUGUUUAUUGAUAAUGUUAUUAUGCUUAUAUUUACAAGUUACUGCUUUUUAAACAAGGUUUUUAAAACACUACUUAAUCAACUUGCUACUAGCUAACCCAAAUUUUAGUUAGUCUGUUGUUAUAUUGAAUGAUGAUUGAAUAGAACUGAAUUCUACACCAUCUUCCAGCCAUUCUUUCAAAGGUUUAUGCUCUGUAGAUGCAUUAACACUAUCUAAAGAUUCCGCUUAUGGGUUUGUUGGUGGCUAUCCUUAUGGUUUCUUUUCUUUUAAUGCAUAUUUGAGUGACCGAUUGUAUGAUAUCGAUUGAUCUCACAACCUACAAAACAGUUGAUAGGCAUCCACUGCAUUAAGAUUGUUCUUGAUUGAUGGUUUCUUGCACUAAACCAUUAGCGAUAGUUAUUAAAAUGAAUUUAGAUUGGGUUUUACGGUAUACGUACAUGUACUCAACUGUAUGCAUAGUUUUAUUUAGUUUAAUUGUGUAAACCUACAAUUUUGAACGAAGCACUUGCAACUGUAGCAUAUGAGAUUGCCAUAGAGAAGGAAACAAACACACGAUGGAGCCUAUAAGGACAAUCUGACGAUUGUGUUGGGUUCUUUGGUAUGUUUAAUUUCAAUCAAUAAACUGUAAGUGGAUUUUGAAAGUGGAUUUUGAGUCAAACUUUUGAAAGGCUACGACAGGUUUCUUAUAGAAGGAUCAAAAUCUAAUUGCUAACUCAAAUUCCAAAAAUAGCAUGCACCCAACGACAAGAUUAAGUGUUUCAACAGUGUAUUAUAGUUUAUAAUUUGAUGCCGAAUUUCAUUUUCAACUGCGUUGACUUAUCUCAAAUGAUUUUGCUUUCAUUGUUUAACAGAAAAUGGAUUUUUAUGAGCUAGAUGCAAUUGGAGGAAGUUGGGGACUGACCAUAAUACAGGUUUGAUAUCUCAAGCUUAAGCUAUUUACAAACCCUGAACUUUUCCUAUGAAGACAUUGAUAGUUUGUAGUUUGCUGAAAGAACACAGAAGGUCCAUUACUACCAGAGCAAUAAAAAUAGGUAAGCAGUCAGUUAGAGGUUUACUGAAAUACUGAUAUAGUUUAUUGGAAUUCUAUAAUAAGGUGGGAUUAUAAUAGUGAGGAAAAGUGUUAACAAGGGUGAUUUCUUACCAUGUUGUCCGUCCUUUCUCACCGACAAAAUGAAAGCAGAAUAAAAAACAAGCACUACUGACUCCCUCCAAUUAGUCGAGAUUGAGAGGCUUAAUACAAUACUACGUUACGAGAAUGCAUUUUUUUUUUUACAACAUGCUCGUUUCAUUGUCUUUAUAUAUCUCAGGGCAUAUAUCUUCCCUCGCUUUCCUGACUAUAUACCAUAUACUUUCUUCCUCAAUAAUAUCCUGGAUCAGAGAUUUUGUGAAGAGAUAUAAUGAAAAUUUGGUCUACUUUUUUUUUAUGUUAUUGAUAAAGGUAAAAGUUUCAUUAAAUUUCAAAAUAAAUUACAAGUUAGUGGUCAGUAUGCACAACUUGCAUUGCCAGUUUCAGACCCCACAUAGAAUAUACAGACACAGACUUGUAGUCCCACAAUAUACGUACAGAUCAAACAGGUAGUUUGUUGUUGCAAAGAGCCACAGAAUCUGUUAACAGUCUGGCUUACAGGAAAUUAGAAUUUAGGUAAUGUAAGGAAGUUUGAGAUUACGGGAAAUGCGAAGAGCUACAUAAUCUAUGGGGCGAAUUUGUUAAAACCCCAGGAAAGUGUGGCUGAAUUUGCACAAACCCCAGACUUUUUUUUUAUAUUUGAGUUUACCCCAGGCCGUUAACUUUUCUGUUACUAAACUGUCUGUUGACUAGGAUAACAAGUUAAUUUACUUAAAUGCCAAUCUCAUAUGGAAACUAAUUUUGUUCUCUGAUAUCUCUCCAUGAUUGUGCACGCUGUAAGAUAUACGCCGCAUCAAAACUUCUUUAACCAACAAAACUGCACCCUCUUCCUUCUUUAUAUCCUAGUACAAAUAAAUUCUGUUGGUGAUGUAGUUGAUUGAAACCCAAUUUGAGUAUGAUAGAAAAUGUUAUUUCCAUAUUCAAAGUUCAAACACCUCUAACCCACACUGUAGGGGUACUACAUACUCCAACCAAUCAAAAGCAGCCACGUGGCACAGUCACUCAUCCACCAGGUCGCCACGCUCUCUACCUGCUAGUAGCUCGUCCACAACAGCUCGACCUCAUAACGAGCAGCGGCCUGCCUACACACACGCGCUCUCAUUCAAUGCACAGAAUAUUCUCAUCAGUUACAUAAUUAAUUCACAGGGAUGAUCCACGCGCGUUACAGAUUUAAUCCUCAUUAUGAUGACGGAGAAUCUGCAAGAUCCACGAUCCACGCCUUUCUACCUUCUAUAAGAACAGAACUACGAUGGCUUGAUCUCUAAGUUCAAUCCCCUCGAGCUAAGAGUACGUAGGCAAUCUUGAUCUCAACGAGGUGCAGCCACCCCGACCUAAAAUCUCCCCCUUUGGUCAAGUUACCCAGCGACCUGACCUAGUAGUGCAUUAAUCUAGAAAUAGGUUAAUACAUUUGGCGCCGACUGCAAGGAAUUCGAUAUAAUCGAAAACCCAAACCCUCCCACCCUUCUCAAAGUCAUCUAUUCAAAUGACUACCCCAGAAUUAACUAUCAAUGAUCUGCAUGCUCAAAUCACUCUUUUGCAGGAAGAAAAUGCACGUCUAAAAGCCGCACAAACCAACCCCCAACAAGGUGAAAAUAGCGGACAUGGAGUCGUCCCCGCUGAUGAUUCCAACCAGAAAUACGAACAACUCAGCCAACAACUGGCGGAGUUCAAAGCCUCCCAGGCUCUCCUUCACCAUUCAAAAAGCCACACCGCGGAGCAACUUGCUGUACAGUCCCUCCAAUAGUUCCAGGAGUCUCCUUUCUCCAAGGAGAUCCUUGAACAUGAUUUGCCGAACAAGCUGAAUGCCCCCAAGUUCGACCAGUAUGCCGGAGUCGGAGAUCCAACCGACCACAUCAAAGGAUUUCGGAAAUCCCUCCCUCUGAUCAAGGAGGAUCACCUUUUGUGUUUGCUGUUCCAGUCUAGUCUCACCGGACCGGCUCUUGACUGGUUUCACCGAUUGAAGCCAGGAUCCAUCAGCUCGUUUGUCGAGCUCGAAAAAAAGUUCGUUAUCUUCUACAUCCACAACAAGAAGCGCCCAGUCACCAUCGAUUCCAUCUUCAAAGUCAAGCAGCGAGAUGGUGAGUCACUAAGCGUAUUCUUUGCUCGUUUUAAGUCUGAAUUACACUCAAUUCAGGAUUUCGCAAAGGAACACGAGACCUUUGCAACCAUCGCAUUCACUCACGGUCUGACCCAGGGGUCCGACCUCCACAAGUCGCUAGCCAUGAAGCGACCUUCAUCCUUGGACGGGCUCUACCUAAACGUAGAUCGUUAUAUCAAGCUCGAGGAAGCCCUCACUGGGAGGGAGAAGAAUCACGUAGUCAGCAAUGUGGAGUCUGACUCAACCAAGCGACCUCGAUCAGAUGGCAAGAGGUUCAAGGGUAAGUCGUUGCCUACUGAGCAACGGGAAUAUCACCGGUUUACAAGACCAGCCGGUUACAUAUUCGAGCGAAUCAAGCACAACCACUGGUGCAGGAUUCCUACCUUCACACAGCUGGAGGAUACAUCUGGACGACCGUACUGCAAAGUCCACAAGGUACGGUGUCAUCAAACAGAUGACUGUCGCGUUCUGAAACGCGCACUGCAAACAUGGGCCGACAAGAAAAGGCUCAACAAUUGGAUCCUCGGAAGGAAUGAGGAAUCCACAGGCAAGCGGGUGAGGAAGGAGUCCAGAACGCCUCCCCGUUCCCCAAAAAGAAAUCACAGCAAGGCCAGAACGGCCUCAGCAAGUCCAGUACGCAGCAGAGGGCGUAGCCUCUCCCAACGACUAGGUCCAACAGGUGACCUACGCGACCAGAUCAACAAGAAGGUCGCAAACAAGAUUGACAGUGACAGUGAGUUGGAGAGUCAUGUCGUAUACAUGAUUUACGAAUCCGACUCCACCCCUGUAUCAAUGGACAAGAAAAGAAGGGUAGAACAUCUUCAUCAUGUCUACUCCAUUACUGGUCGAGCAGCUCGCAUCAACAUCCCUGCCCGCCAAGAGUCCGACAUCACCUUCACUGAGGACGAUCUCAACAAGGUCGUCACUCCUCACAACGAUGCCCUUGUUGUAGAGCUCAGAAUAGCCGACUACAUCAUCAAGAGGGUACUCAUUGACCCUGGCGCAUCAUGCAACAUACUCAUGUACAGAACAUUCAAGGACAUGAGGUUGCCCGAUUCAGUUCUCAUCCCUGAUUUCACCCCCAUCUUAGGCUUCAACAGUUCAAGGGAGGAUCCUAAGGGUGAAAUUCUGUUGCCCGUCACUGUGGGCCGUAAGGAAGAUAAGGUUGUUGUGACCGCCAAGUUCAGCAUACUUAACAUCGCAAGCAAGUACAAUGCGAUUCUGGGUCGAAAGUGGAUCCAUGCCAUGAGAGGUGUUCCGUCAACAUAUCAUCAAGUUUUCCGCUAUCCCGGACCUCAUGGGAUAAUGGAACUUCGUGGUAACCAGAACGCUGCACAGGAAUGCCAUGGCAUUAUUGAAGCAGUACCACCGUCAAAAGAAGGUGAAGGUAACCAUGAGCGUACCUCCAUCCUNNNNNNNNNNNNNNNNNNNNNNNNNNNNNNNNNNNNNNNNNNNNNNNNNNNNNNNNNNNNNNNNNNNNNNNNNNNNNNNNNNNNNNNNNNNNNNNNNNNNNNNNNNNNNNNNNNNNNNNNNNNNNNNNNNNNNNNNNNNNNNNNNNNNNNNNNNNNNNNNNNNNNNNNNNNNNNNNNNNNNNNNNNNNNNNNNNNNNNNNNNNNNNNNNNNNNNNNNNNNNNNNNNNNNNNNNNNNNNNNNNNNNNNNNNNNNNNNNNNNNNNNNNNNNNNNNNNNNNNNNNNNNNNNNNNNNNNNNNNNNNNNNNNNNNNNNNNNNNNNNNNNNNNNNNNNNNNNNNNNNNNNNNNNNNNNNNNNNNNNNNNNNNNNNNNNNNNNNNNNNNNNNNNNNNNNNNNNNNNNNNNNNNNNNNNNNNNNNNNNNNNNNNNNNNNNNNNNNNNNNNNNNNNNNNNNNNNNNNNNNNNNNNNNNNNNNNNNNNNNNNNNNNNNNNNNNNNNNNNNNNNNNNNNNNNNNNNNNNNNNNNNNNNNNNNNNNNNNNNNNNNNNNNNNNNNNNNNNNNNNNNNNNNNNNNNNNNNNNNNNNNNNNNNNNNNNNNNNNNNNNNNNNNNNNNNNNNNNNNNNNNNNNNNNNNNNNNNNNNNNNNNNNNNNNNNNNNNNNNNNNNNNNNNNNNNNNNNNNNNNNNNNNNNNNNNNNNNNNNNNNNNNNNNNNNNNNNNNNNNNNNNNNNNNNNNNNNNNNNNNNNNNNNNNNNNNNNNNNNNNNNNNNNNNNNNNNNNNNNNNNNNNNNNNNNNNNNNNNNNNNNNNNNNNNNNNNNNNNNNNNNNNNNNNNNNNNNNNNNNNNNNNNNNNNNNNNNNNNNNNNNNNNNNNNNNNNNNNNNNNNNNNNNNNNNNNNNNNNNNNNNNNNNNNNNNNNNNNNNNNNNNNNNNNNNNNNNNNNNNNNNNNNNNNNNNNNNNNNNNNNNNNNNNNNNNNNNNNNNNNNNNNNNNNNNNNNNNNNNNNNNNNNNNNNNNNNNNNNNNNNNNNNNNNNNNNNNNNNNNNNNNNNNNNNNNNNNNNNNNNNNNNNNNNNNNNNNNNNNNNNNNNNNNNNNNNNNNNNNNNNNNNNNNNNNNNNNNNNNNNNNNNNNNNNNNNNNNNNNNNNNNNNNNNNNNNNNNNNNNNNNNNNNNNNNNNNNNNNNNNNNNNNNNNNNNNNNNNNNNNNNNNNNNNNNNNNNNNNNNNNNNNNNNNNNNNNNNNNNNNNNNNNNNNNNNNNNNNNNNNNNNNNNNNNNNNNNNNNNNNNNNNNNNNNNNNNNNNNNNNNNNNNNNNNNNNNNNNNNNNNNNNNNNNNNNNNNNNNNNNNNNNNNNNNNNNNNNNNNNNNNNNNNNNNNNNNNNNNNNNNNNNNNNNNNNNNNNNNNNNNNNNNNNNNNNNNNNNNNNNNNNNNNNNNNNNNNNNNNNNNNNNNNNNNNNNNNNNNNNNNNNNNNNNNNNNNNNNNNNNNNNNNNNNNNNNNNNNNNNNNNNNNNNNNNNNNNNNNNNNNNNNNNNNNNNNNNNNNNNNNNNNNNNNNNNNNNNNNNNNNNNNNNNNNNNNNNNNNNNNNNNNNNNNNNNNNNNNNNNNNNNNNNNNNNNNNNNNNNNNNNNNNNNNNNNNNNNNNNNNNNNNNNNNNNNNNNNNNNNNNNNNNNNNNNNNNNNNNNNNNNNNNNNNNNNNNNNNNNNNNNNNNNNNNNNNNNNNNNNNNNNNNNNNNNNNNNNNNNNNNNNNNNNNNNNNNNNNNNNNNNNNNNNNNNNNNNNNNNNNNNNNNNNNNNNNNNNNNNNNNNNNNNNNNNNNNNNNNNNNNNNNNNNNNNNNNNNNNNNNNNNNNNNNNNNNNNNNNNNNNNNNNNNNNNNNNNNNNNNNNNNNNNNNNNNNNNNNNNNNNNNNNNNNNNNNNNNNNNNNNNNNNNNNNNNNNNNNNNNNNNNNNNNNNNNNNNNNNNNNNNNNNNNNNNNNNNNNNNNNNNNNNNNNNNNNNNNNNNNNNNNNNNNNNNNNNNNNNNNNNNNNNNNNNNNNNNNNNNNNNNNNNNNNNNNNNNNNNNNNNNNNNNNNNNNNNNNNNNNNNNNNNNNNNNNNNNNNNNNNNNNNNNNNNNNNNNNNNNNNNNNNNNNNNNNNNNNNNNNNNNNNNNNNNNNNNNNNNNNNNNNNNNNNNNNNNNNNNNNCUUUCAUUAUUUACCUUCAACUGGUGUCCUACCAUCCAACAAAAAGGAAGCCAGUCAGCUGUUACAUAAAGUCACAAUGUACAAACUCCAUGAAGGUAAACUUUUCAGAAAGUCCGCAACUGGUUUGUUAUUACGGUGCCUAAUCCCCAAACAGGGCCAGAUGAUAUUUCAAGAAAUCCAUGAAGGUGAAUGUGGAAACCACUCCGGAGGGCGAACCUUAGCCCAUAAAGCAAUCUCCCAGGGAUACUUCUGGCCAAGAAUGAAGGAAGACGCCAAGAAAUUUGUUUUGAAGUGUGUAGAAUGCCAACGAUUUGCUGAUAAGCAACAUCAGCAUCCCAACGAUCUCAUCAACAUCACUACACCAUGGCCAUUCCACAUGUGGGGGCUUGAUAUCAUGGGUCCCCUAAUCAAAGAAAAGAAAUCAGAGAAGAGAUUCGUUCUAGUGGCCGUCAACUAUUUCACUAAAUGGGUGGAAGCUGUUGCACUAACCAACGUCACCCAAGCAGAUGUGCAGAGAUUCAUGUGGGAAAACAUCAUCACAAGGUUUGGCCUACCAAAAAGAAUAGUCACAGACAAUGGCACUCAGUUCGUUGGCAAAAACAUCAAGGCUUUCUACAACCUAUGGAAAAUCGAGCAUUCAAGGUCAACGCCUAGAUAUCCACAAGCCAACGGCCAGGUCGAAGCUGCAAAUCGACAUAUUCUAAACAACCUGAAGAAGAAGCUCGAAGAUCAGCAUGAUCAAUGGCCACAACAGUUGGAGAACAUCCAAUGGGCUUAUAGAACAACCCCUCGUACAUCCACUGGGAUGUCACCAUUCAGUCUAUGCUAUGGAGUUGAGGCCGUUAUUCCCACUGAGUUAACAUUUGGAACGACCAAAUCCCUUCUGGUCGAUACAGAGCUUAACGAUCAGGUCUGGUCGUUCGGAAUAGAUCUCCUCGAAGAGCGACGAAACCACGCAGUUAUAAAGCUUGAGCAGUAUCAACAACGACUUAAGCAAGCUUAUAACAAAGGCGUACGACCUAGAUCUUUUCAACCAGGAGAACUAGUUCUAAGGAAAAUGUUCCACAACAAGAGGAAGAACAUCAUUGGCAAACUCAAUGCCAACUGGGAAGGACCUUACAUUAUCACCAAGGUUCAAAGCAACGGUUCUUAUCGUCUUCAAACACCAGAAGGAGAGAUCGUUAAGAACCCAUGGAAUGCUUAUCACUUGAAAAAGUUUUAUCAAUGAAAUGUAAGCAUCCAUUCAUUACAUUUCAAUAUACAAACAUAUUGUUGCCUUCAUCUCAGCUCAAACAUGAAUGGCUCUUAAAGGUCUACCCCCUCGACCUACAAAUUAUCAAAACUCUAGUCCCUUUGAUGAUUUUAAUUUGUUAAGUUCAAACAUCUGCAACUUAACUUGGUGCAUUGGUCAUAUCAUUCCCAUGACCUCUGUACAAUCAAACAACCAUGCACACGACCUCAUCCACCAGCAGGUCCAGCACUAUGAUUACUACUUGUUUGCAAAACUCAUACAAGCAGACAACGUAGCAAGAAUGACAAUAAAAGGUAAAUCAUUGAAUUUUAUUUUGUCUUAAGGAGAUUCUAACCAUUACAGGUAAAAGCAAAACUAAGGCAUACAAGAAGAACUGUUUUAGUCCGUCCUGCUUGCAGCCAUUCAUCUCGUCUACCUGCCUUCUGAACGAGCUACCAGGACUCCCUGGAAACUAGCUGAUCAGAACGGCUUAAGUACAAGCUCAUCAAAUUCAAUGUUGUUCAAUACAACUCCAACAAACAAUUGUUUUUCAAGCACAAAAAACUCAAAGGACUGCUUAGAAGAAGACGUACUGCAAGAACAAGGAGUGCAAGAAGCAAACUUUGCACAAGGUUACCCAAUACAAGAAAGUGGGAACCCGGACUAGUUCAUUGCUGCGCUAGCUGGUCGCUGGAACCUUCAACUUCCAUACAGCCACUGGCGACCUGGUCACUAGGGCCCAUCAAGGCGUCCUGAGCUGGCGCCAAAGUUUCUUCGGCCCCACCUCGCGUCUCCUCUCCCUCGGGCGACCCCAUCAAAGCUUUCUGCAGCUGCUCACAGUAGGCCUGCCACGCUGCACCAUUUUCCUGGCUCACGUUCUGCCAGUGUUCAGCAGAAGCCUUAGCAGCAGCCAAACUUUCCUUUAACUGCUCAUUGGUCUCCUUCAGCGCUGCGACCUGAGCAUCCCUGUCCCUCACCUUGCACUCCGCAACAGCAGCAACGUUCUUCGCCUGCUCAAGCUUCUCGUUCAGCUCCUUCAGCUCAACCUCAGCUCGGGCACCAACUUCAGCAACAAGACGCACUUCCUGGAAGCUCGCAUUAACCUGCAAGUGCAAGCAGAAUUAGGCAACGACGACUAAGCAGAAACAAAGAAAAUAAUAAUGGCAACACUCACCAAAGCCAGCGCCGCAUUUAACUUCGAGCAGGUGACCAACAAAGUCUGAGACUUCACAGCUCGAGCAUCAGCUUCCAGAACGAUGCCUUCAUUCACAGCCUGGGCGACGCAGGGGUCGUCAAUAGCACUGUCGUUAUCAUAUACGACAUGCCUCUCACCACGGCCGUCCAAAUAGUCGAAUGGCCCAGGGCGAAACACAGACGACACACCCUUGCCUUUCUCCAAGGGCCGAGCAACAGUCUUCCUAAACACAGAAGACAUUUCAGGAGCUCUAGCAGGCGGGGUAAGAGCAGGUGUCGGCACAAUGGGCCGCUCCAACAGCUUCAGGUUACCUGAAUGAGACCUCUUCUUCUGCCCAGAAAAGGCAGGCAGUUUGGGAAAUGAAGGCGGAGGAGACACGACUAGGGGGCUCGCCACUACCUCCACCGGGCGCGAGCUACCACUGACUCUCUCUUUCUCCACAGGUCGUUCCUUCUCCGACCUCCGAACAGCUACACCAGACCGCUCUCUUUCAGCAGGCCUCGAGCAACCACCAGCUCGUUCCUUCUCCUCAGCAGGCUUCGAGCUACCACCAGCUCGUUCCUUCUCACCAGCACGCGAGCUACCAGCAGAUCGCCCAGCCUCACCUUUAUGUAUAGCAGACAUAUGAGCCUUCCUCAGCGACUUCCUCCUCUGAAGCUCUUCAGCAACUGUUUUCGGACCACCUUUAGGAAUAAAAUGCUCCUUCAGGUGGGGUGAGAAAUUUAUCUUACGCUCGUCAGUCCAGAAACCAAAACCGUUCAAGGCGGAUCUCAGAUCGUUCUUCCUCACAAGAUGAUCGUCCCUGAUCGCUGCAAAAAGAAACAACAUAAUCAGGUACAGAAAAAGGAAAAUCUCCUAAGACUAACGACCAGAAACUUACGAGCAUCAUUCCUAGUCACAUGACGCAACUGGAUGCUCCCCUCAAUGAUCGACCCAGUAAUCAGCAUGGGAUCUUUCCACCAUGGCUCACUACUUACAGGAUAGAUCAAAGGCAAACGUUCUGGCCUAACUUGCAUGUUAUAGCCGGAAAAGUCAGCCUUGGAGGAACGUUUGAAGCAGAAGUGGUCCAACACAUCCUUCACAGUGACGUUCCACCUAUGCAACUUGUUGAGGUCUUCAAUUACCCUCAUGUUCCUCCAGAAAUUGCCAUUCAUCUGGCAGGGGGCUCGACCAAUAGCAUUCAACAGGUCGACCACCAAAGAAGACAAUGGCAGCCUCAGCCCAGCUCGGAAUUGGGUCAAGGUAAAAACAGUCGAAAAAGGAUUUUUAGGUCGAUACUCAGCAGACAGUAAACGAUCUCCUAAAAAUCUAAUCUCCAAAUGAUCAAUGGAGCUAAGACCAUACUGCUUCCUAAAUGCAAUGUGCCUAUUUACAUACUUAAGGUUCACUACUCUACACAUCGAACCAUCAUCUCCUUCCACCAUCUCCUCGUCAGACGAGUCAGCCCCGUGAGAGUCACUACUCUGGGGGAUAUCAGGGUCUACACCACGAACGGGCGACAAAGGUUCAGAAUGAGUCCUUUCAGACUCAUAUUCCUCACCGCCACCACCACUCAGGUUAUCAUUUUGAGAGUCACUCAAAUCAGACAUUUCUCUCAAGCAACAGAAAUGAAAACAGAAGAUGAAGGAAAAGAAAGAGAAGAAAACUAACCUCACGAGCUCUCAAAGUUCUUCAGAUCGCAAGAGUAAAGCGGCAGCAAUUCAAAUGAAAGUGAAAUAGGUAAACCUUUCUCAACAAAGCUACAGUUUAAAUACUGCAGCUCGUACAAUCCCAGCCAUCAGUUCAAAAAAGGUGAACGGCUGAGAUCGAACAGACGAUCCACUUCCAUUGCAGUUAUUUUCCACUACAUAAAAGAUUCACAUCCACCGUCGGAUCAACCCACGUGCCACGCAAUGACUAUAUCAGGCAAGACAUGCGCCGGUUGCCAUAACUGCGCAGCUAACUGCUCGAGGAAAAUCUCCCACUUCCCCGUAAGAGCGCCAUGAUUAGUACAGACAAGCCUGCAUGACUGCCACGUCAGCAAAUUCAAAAGCAAACUACAAAUCAGCAUCGAUCAGAGUUAUUAGUCUUUUCAGCCCGACUUCUACAGCCGACCUAAAAAGAGGGGGCUUAUGUAGGGGUACUACAUACUCCAACCAAUCAAAAGCAGCCACAUGGCACAGUCACUCAUCCACCAGGUCGCCACGCUCUCUACCUGCUAGUAGCUCGUCCACAACAGCUCGACCUCAUAACGAGCAGCUGCCUGCCUACACACACGCGCUCUCAUUCAAUGCACAGAAUAUUCUCAUCAGUUACAUAAUUAAUUCACAGGGAUGAUCCACACGCGUUACACAUUUAAUCCUCAUUAUGAUGACGGAGAAUCUGCAAGAUCCACGAUCCACGCCUUUCUACCUUCUAUAAGAACAGAACUACGAUGGCUUGAUCUUUAAGUUCAAUCCCCUCGAGCUAAGAGUACGUAGGCAAUCUUGAUCUCAACGAGGUGCAGCCACCCCGACCUAAAAUCUCCCCCUUUGGUCAAGUUACCCAGCGACCUGACCUAGUAGUGCAUUAAUCUAGAAAUAGGUUAAUACACACACCAUGAAUCUCUUUCCUCUUGUGAAAAGUCAAAAGUACACCAAAACCAACUGCAAUUCUCAAUGAGAGAGCUUGUUAUUCAUUUCCUUGAGAACAUCUGCAGGUUCUCUGCACAUCCUUUAUAGUUCUUCAAUUGCCUCAAAAAACCCUUCCCCCCGUUACACCACUUACUUGUACAUCCAAAUAUCCAAUUCUAUCGUUGAACCAAACUACCUAAAUUUCUUCAAUUCUUCUUCUUUUACUUACUUUAAUUUCGAAUUGAAAACAAUGAGUUUUUCUUCACUAAACCCCACAACAAUAAGAUGGUUUUGCAACAAAAACAUUUGAAUCCCUUGAAGAGGCCGAAAUUUGAUAAUUGAAACUAAACCAUGUACUCCGGCAGCCAUUUUCACUUCCAAUUUUGGAUUCCACUUAGAAGAAGUGAAAGGAAUAAAAAUUUUGUUGGUUGGUGAAUGAAUCAACUUGUAUGAAACAGGGGAAAGAUUAGAAAUUAGAAUGGAGAAGACGACUUAGAUUUCUACAACAGUGAUUUAUUUUAGAUCAUUUAACAGAUCUGAACCGUUAAUCUGUAAGGGUAGGAUUGGUAUAUUGGAGGAUAUGUUAUUAAAACUUAAGCCACGUAAAUUAUUAGUGGGUCAGCAAACGACUUAAUAACAGAAUAGUUGACGGCCUAGGGUAAACUCAAAUAAAAAAAAAAGUUUGGGGAUUAUGCAAAUUUUGGCACACUUUCCUGGGAUUUGGACAAAUUCGCCCCAGAAACGAUAGGUCCACAUUGAUAAAUGAUAUCAGCAUAAUCUAACGAAGAAUAGUUUAGUUUAGACCUUUUAUUUUUUAGAGAUUUUGGCACUUACCCCCAUUUGAAAGUCGAAAUUUGGCAUUACCCCCCAUUUGAAAAAAUAUAGCACUUACCCCCCAAUUGGACGGAAAAAAUAGACGGUGUUACAAAAAUUAAUUUUUAAAUUUUCUUAAAAUAAAAUAUUGGGUUAUUUUGUAUUUGGUCCUUCUAAAAGAUGGCUAAUUAGCAUAUGGUCCAAAGUUUUUGGUUUAUUAGUAUAUAGUCCUAUUUCCGUAACUUGACUGUUAGUCAACUCAGUUGACUGAAGUCAAGUCAUAUAUUAUUAUUUAAUACCUAAACUACCCCUGCACGUGCUAGUCACGUGUUAGAUCUAAUUUAAUAUUCUUGAAAUUCUAAUGUAAAAAAAAAAAAAAAAAAAAAACUGUUGCGAAGAUAUGCCGGAGUUAGAAUCGCCACUGACUUGAAAACCUUAAACUUGUAAUGCUCCAAUUCAAAUUCUAGAAGUAGUAAAGAAGAAGAAGCAGAGAAUUCUCCUCUCUCACCAUAACUUCUUCAAUUAUUAUUUAGCAAACCAAUUGAAACUAAGCUGCUUCAAUUCAAUCCCACAUCCAUAUAUAGAUCUAUAAAUCCGACGGUGGAAAUUGUUCUUGAUGAUAAGAAUAAUGAAGUGGAAGAACUCAAUGGAGGUAGAAGAAUGUUGUUGCUAUAGUUUUAUCCAAUCCAACGGUCGAGAUUGUGUGAAACUUUGAUGUUAUGAGAGUAGUUGGGGAUGAUCAGAAGGGAAAGUACAGAAGAUUAACGGUGGCAAUGAAUAACGGUUUUGGUGGAGAGUUUGAGAAUGGAAGGAAUGCUAAAGGAAGUAGUGGAGAUUUUUUUUAUUUUUUUUUUUUUAUGAGAAGAAUCUGAUACGGGUAGAAGAAAGCAUGAAUUCAACUGGUUGUACUGGUAAUCCUUGUUAAUUUAAAUUCUUAACACUAAUAUGUUAUGAUAGAGGUAGUAUGCAACACUGUUCAAGAUUUCAAUCACUAUCUAACCCAAAUACUUCAAUCAAAAGCAAACUCUAACUUGACAACACCCAAUAGCAGCUCAGAGUUAUGAGAAACUCCAUCUCUGAAAUUAAGUUAAACAAAUUCCUCAAAUUUCAAUCAAAACUCAAAAUUGAUUUGAACAGCCAACAAAAAUAACAUAGCCAUUAGCCACCAUGUAGCUUCAGUUUAUUGGAGAAAAUUUGAUAAAAACAAGAAGAAUUAUUGCAACUUAGAAUGGAUCGGUUGUGACUCAGUUUCACUCCCCUUCCCUCAGUUUUUUGAGUUAUGCAUUUAGAUAGUUUCAAAGUUUUAAAUUAAAUAGAUGAAUGAUAUGUUGACACGUAAUUAACAUGUGAAGGGUAGUUUAGAUAUUAUAAAAUAAUAGAUGUGUUGAUUUCAGUCAACUCAUUUGACUAACAGUCAAAUAACAGAAAUAAGACUAUAUACUAAUAAACUAAAAACUUUGGACCAUAUGCUAAUUAGCCAUCUUCUAUAAGGACCAAAUACAAAAUAGCCCAAAAUAUUUUGAUAAUACCAAAACUACCUUUCUUUAAACAUGUCAAUAAUAAACAUAAUUAGUAAACCAACCCCCCCUCCCCCACUGAAACAUACAUAAUUAACAAUACCCCCAAAUCGAUUUGCAAAAAAAUUUGAAGGAGAAGAUGAAUUUUUAGGAAAAAAAAUGAAAUUUGUUUGAGAAAUUUGUUAAAUUUAAAGAACAUGAGAUUUAUUUGAGAAAAGUUAGGUUUAUUUAUAAACUUUUGGGGAUUUUGGAUUUUUGGGGAAGACAACAAAGUUGAUCGUUAGAUUAAGUACUAAAUAGAUGGAUAAGAUUAUGACACAUGUCAUUAUUACUAGAAUAAAAAGGGUAUUUUUGCUGCAGAAUUAUAAUAUAGUUUAUUCUUACAAAUUCAGGGUGUGUUUGAUAACGAAUUCCCGCUUUGAUAGGUUUUCGGGCAAACCAGGUAAAAGUGUGGCAAAAGUCACAUUUGCCAGGUCCUGGCAAAUGUUUUGUCUGUUAAAAUCAGUUUGCCAUCGUUUGAUAACAAAUUUGAAAAAAGCAGACAAACCUCAAUUUGACGGUUAGAACGCCUUUGAUAACACUUUGGCAAACCUGGCAACUCCCAUUUGCCGAUUAUAUUGGUUUUGAUAAAAUUUAUGAUUUUGGCAAAACCUACUAGGGUUGAGUAGCAAAGUUAAAAGGUCCACUGGGCUGAGUCCAAUAAGCAAGUCCAAGCCUGUUUAAGUUGAAUUGCAAGACCAUGAUAAUGACCAUGAGUUACAAGAACGCAAAAAUAAUGCACUCCUAAACAACUUUUUCAAGUUACCUGGGUGAUUGUAUUAACCUAUUUCUAGAUUAAUGCACUACUAGGUCAGGUCGUUGGGAGACUUGACCAAAUGGGGAUGUUUGAGAUCGGGGUGGCUACACCUCGUUGAGAUCGAGAUUGCCUACGUACUCUAGCUCGGGGGAAUUGAACUUAGAGAUCAAGCCAUCGUAGUUCUGUUAUUAUAGAAGGUAGAAAGGCGUGGAUCGUGGAUCUUGCAGAUUCUCCGCCAUCAUAAUGAGGAUUGAUUGUGUAACGCGCGUGGAUCAUCCCUGUGAAUUAAUUAUGUAACUGACGAGAAUAUUCUGUGCAUUGAAUGAGAGUACGUGUGUAUAAGCAGGCCGCUGCCCGUUGUGAGAUCGAGCUGUUGUGGACGAGCUACUAGCAGGUAGAGUUCGUGGCGACCUGAUGGAUAAAUGACUGUGCCACGUGGCUGCUUGUGAUUGGUUGGAGUAUGUAGUACCCCUACAGUGAUCACUUUAAAAAAAUUGUUCAUUUUGCGUACUUGUAAACGAAAUAUAAUCGAACUUAUAAAACUAAUCAAACCAAAUAUCAUACAAUAAAACACCACCAAGAAUCAUUCAUAAAUAUAUAACAUGCUUGCAUAAAACACCACCAAGAAUCAUUCAAAACAAAAAACAAUCUUGCAUAAUGAACAUUCAUAUAUCCGAAAUAGUUUAAAAUUAUUGUACGAGUCUAUCAUAUAGUACCAUCACACAUAAUUACAUAAAUAUAUAAUAAAAUACCACCAACAACUAUAAACACCAGAAGUCUCAAUAAAAGUACCACCAAGAAGCAUAAACACCAGAAGCCUAGUCGACGAUAUAGGGCGAGUCAGGGGUGCCAAGCUCUUCUACUGGUUCAGACUGAUCUGUAGCUGGACCUGAGCGUCGCUUGUUGAAAGCAGUAGGCCAAUCCCUAGUAGUAGGCUUCACAAUCUUGUCAGGUUGCUUUGGGUCUGCAUGGGCAAUCUGGACUGUGAUGUGGGCACACUUAUUGCACAUCCUGACAGGUUCGAAGAGAAUAUAGUCACCAAUCUUCAGUUUUGCUACAAUGAUAAACUUCUUCCAACCAUUGUGGCGAAAGUAGAGAGACGACCCAUCAUUGCCUACCUCAACCAGGAAGUCACGCCUACCUGGUAAGCGUAGUAUGAUCUGUUUGCAGUCAUUGAAGUACCAGCGAACACCAUUCAGAAUUUUUUUACAGUGUUUAAAAGUUUAUGUGGUGAAGUGUACGUAUACUACAAAAUAACAUUUAUUACCAACACCAAACAAAGUAAACUUUUUACGCCUACAUAUGAACAAACCUAUGUGUUACAUAACUAUCAAGAUCAAGCAAUUUUGCCUUAUAUAUGAUAAAGUUUACGCAAUAAUGUACAAUAUUAUAAGUAUCAAUUUGUUAGACAGAAAUUCAUACCAUGACACAACAAUUUGUCACAUGUCCCUUGCUACACUCUUUAAUCCAAUAAGCAUGUUUCAUGUUGAGAGGCUUGAGUUUCCUUGGGUCGACAAUUGUCGAAAAGUUGUAUACGUAAUGCAAACUCAUAGACAAGAUAAUUCAUAUUUACACAUUUACAAUAGGUUAAGCCACAUUACUGCCCAAGUCAAUUACAAUAGGUUCGAUUACAAACUGACACCAAUACUUGACUUAUAGAAUGACAACUAUAAUGAAUACAAAAUACAAGUUGGCUCAAUAGUAUAUUUCUAAACCGUAAAGGUCCCUUGAAAAAGGUGUUUGGAGCCCGGAUAGACAAACAAGGUUUUGUCCUUGUAUUUUGACCCAAUAUGAAGGAGUCUUGGUGGUAGUGAAUCCCAACUUACAUCGGUGGCUCAAACUUUGCAAGAUAUUGGAGAAAACUCAAACCCUGGCCUAAGACACAAUGUGUUUAUGAACACUGUCAUCUUCUUGACUGACACUAGCCGUGCCUUGACAUCGAGUGAAGUGAUGGUACAACUUGUCAUUCCAGUCCGCAUUGUUUUUGCUACUUCAACGAGUGUAUUAGUUAAAAAAUGUCGUUGGGGUCUACUAAUUGAUAGUAGAAUGGUGCACAAAUUGAUAUCCAUAGAGAUUGACCAACUUGGGCGGUUGGCGUUGUUGCAUCUAUAACACGGAAUUGGACGGUUCAUACUUUCAACUUUUUAUAAUGAUUCUGUCAAACAAUGUCAUUAGUAGUCCACCAUUGUGCCAUUAUUUACAAAAUUAUAAUAUUACCAAAAUAUCAAACACUGACAAGUUCCUAUUGUUUGUAAAACAAAUCCACGACACUUCACAAACUAAAAUUUUUAAUAAACACAUGUGAUAUACACCUAGACCUCACACCUAGAAACAAAAUUUGUCUUCCAGGUCCUUGUACACCAGGUACGCUGGAACAUACAGAUUUCUAAUAUGUGUGUAACAAUCAGGUAGGUCUUCCUCGAGCGCAAUCCAAUCAUCAUCUGAAGCAAUAACCAUCUUGGUUUCAUUAUCCCAAUGAAAUCCCUCGUGGUCUUCACACAACUCUUUUAUAAGUUUUACCAAGCGCUUCAAAUGUCGUAGACGCUGCCAAAUGCUAUAGACACACAAAUCCAGCCGAGGGUGCUCAUUUAUAACAUUAGCAGAACUUACAACUGCCGACCUAAGACGGACAAACAAUGGACCCUCUUCGGUGUCUGCUAACAUAGCAGUACACAGAGUGUGGUCCAUAUCUGGAGUCCACACGAACACACGACGUCCUAAGCGGGGAUUUCGAGGCGUGAUUUUAAACCGCACCAUUCCUAGUGAAUUUACCACAAUCAGAAUAUAUCUGAAACUAAUAAUUGGACAAACACAAGUAAAAAAAAAAACGGAAAUUGCCAACGUAAAAAUUCACAAAUCUGACAGGUAAGUCAUAGUAAAUUUUCAGAAAUCCAUCAAUAAAUUUUAGUAGAAUUCACUAUUUAACCACCCCCACACUAUUUAUCCAUCAAUAAAUUUUGAUCGAACUAAUAAAAAACUUGAGUAAAAACAUGGCUACGUAUCGAACCAAUAAAAACUUGAGGAAAAAAAAACUAUGUAUCAAUGUUAUAGUGACAAACCUUGAUAUCAAAGAGCAAAUACUGCAGAUAGAGAAAAAGAAGAACGCGAACAAAAGAAGAGAAGCAAGUCUGCAAAAAAAAAAAAAGGUAUACAUUUAGUUGUUGCCAAUAUUUACAGGCCCAGUGAUACAAAACAUUUUAAAAGCGUGCAUACGAACUUAAUAUACCUGGUAAUGAGUGAGUCAGGUGAAAUUGAAACCUUGCAACAAAUACAAAGAAAACUCUGUUAAUUAGGUAGUAACCUACACAUAUAAUUUAAACAAAUAAAUCGAAACAAAAUAAAGAUUAAACCAACCUAUGAUGCGCGAGAGAAGAUGACGAACACCAACCCUAAAUCUGCAAGUAAAGUUCAUCAGGGUAGUAUGCCUCAUUUUGAUGAAAAUGAGAACUUUAACAUGUCAUAUGGUAUACUAUAAUCAAACUUGAAAAACUGAUGACUAUCUUAUCAUCAUAGUAUGAUCAUGCAAGGUAUAAACUGAUGACAUUGGAACAUUAAUUCAUGAUAAAACUACAUGCCAGUUCAAACAUGUCCUAAUUUAUUAACAAAGUAUACUAGUUUAAUUUACAAGAAACAUGUAUGCCAACCAUAGUAACUAACUAAAUAUGUCAGUUCAAACAUGUCAGAUAUUUUUAAUAAAAAAUAUGAUAUUUAAAAUUAAAACUGCAAAAUAAUUGUUUGAGCAAUUGGACAUAUACACAACAUUUAAGCAAUUGGAUAUAUAAUCGUAUACACAAAAUUGUACAAGUUUGAUCAAUUACAUUGCAGCAAAAAAUUAAAAACCAAAAUAUUAAAACAGUCACAAAUGUACAUUUAAAUUACUUAAAAUACAAAACCAUUAAUUUUUUGAAUAAUUUUGAACAUACCAACAAUAAACCAAUAUAAAGUUAACAAAUUUUUGAUAAAUUACUGUUCAAUUCCACAAAUUCUUGACAAUUUACUUAUCAAUUUAACAAAUUAGUUUGAAUUUGAAAAAAUCCCCAACUUUUUUUAAAUUAGGGUUUAUUGAAAUUAGGGGUUUUUCAAAAUUACUAAUGAAUUUCGCAAAUUACUGUUGAAUAAGAAUAAAACAAUGUUGAAAUUGAAUAAAUCUCCAACUUUUUUGAAAUUAGGGUUUAUUGAAAUUAGGGAUUUUUUAAAAUUACUAAUGAAUUUCGCAAAUUAUUGUUGAAUAAGAAUAAAACAAUGUUGAAAUUGAAUUAAUCCCCAACUUUUUUGAAAUUAGGGUUUAUUGAAAUUAGGGGUUUUUUAAAAUUACUAAUGAAUUUCGCAAAUUACUGUUGAAUAAGAAUAAAACAAUGUUGAAAUUGAAUAAAUCCCCAACUUUUAUAUAAAAUUAUUAGGGUUAGGGUUAGGGUUUUCUCAAAUUGGGGAUAAUUACGAAGAACAAGAAGAAGAAAAACACAAAUAAAACAUCAACAACAACAACAGAAGAGAAAGGAAAAAGAAAACAACAUCAACAACAGUAAAAAAUGUUCGCUUUGAGAAGGAGUGAUGAAGAAUAGUGAAAAAAAAAGAGAAAAGAGUUGAAAGGCAUACCUUAAACACGCGAAACAGCGUUGAAGACGAGUUUCGCCACCAUGAGAGCCGCCAUUGAUGUUCUCUGAGUUUUGGUUAUGAGAUAGGGUUUUCUGGUUUAUUUUUACCUUAUAUGCCCGGCAAAAUAACAUGGUUGCAGUGGCAAAGCAAAUUUUCCUUGGGGGGUACCCAAGCAAAAUUUUUCCGCAUAUAAGCGGGCAAAUAGGGUCACGUGAGGGCUUAUCGACAAACUUUGCCGAAUCAUCCAGUUGCGUUAUCAAAUGAUGGCAAACACAAAAAAUGCAGGAAAAUAGGGAUUUGCCGCAGGAAAAGGGCGUUAUCAAACACUACCUCAGUGUACCAGUUGCAAAGAAAAAGUGACUGCACUGAGAAAGUAUAUGAAAGAACAUCAGCCUCUAAGUAAGUUAAAUGAGUAAUUUUUUUCUUGGUCUUAUUGAUUUUAACCGUUUCAGCAGAAAAUCUGCUAAAAAGUAAAAUAUAUUUUAUUUUUAAAUACAGUGUACCAGUUGCAAAGAAGCAAAAAACAAAAAAAUACAACUGCUCGGAUAAAGCGAAUGAAGGAAUUUCAGUUUCUAAUAAAUCUGUGUUGAACAAGUAAUUGAAAUUUCUAAUAAUUUUGAAGUCCGAUCAAUUUUUGAUUAUGGGACCAUGUCUUCAAAUACGUAACAUCUAAUUUUAAGGCCUAUUUAAUGCACUGUACCAGUUUCAAGAAAACAACGACCCAAAAAAAAAGUUGGGCAACAAAAAAAUGACAAAGUAAGUAAGAUACAUUGUUUAUCACAAGUUGGAACGCGUCUAAUGGUUGUUCAAUUUGCUACAAAAGUUAUCAAAGCAAUUAUUCUUAAUGGUAGUCAUGCUGGGGAUUACAUGUUCAUAGCACGUAUAACUCUUCAACCAUCUGUUUCAGAAACACAUUUUCAAAUGGCCCGUCGACAAUUCCCAUUUCGAUUGACGUUUGCAAUGACUAUUAAGUCUCAAGAGGAAUCAGUCAAGUUUGUGGGCAUAGACUUGCGAAACCAUGUUUUCAGACAUGGUCAGUUGUAUGUUGCUUUAUCAAGGUGUACUACCUCGAAAUAAAUAUCUUUUCUUUUUGGAAGCGAAGAAGAUGAUUCUACCCUCAAAUUUUGCUAUUUAAUUGAUUAAAGGUAUGGUGAUACUGAAAGUGGAUCAAAGUUUUAUACAACUACUUUCCCAUGAUUACUAAUUUAUAAUUCAAUAUGAUGUGACAUAUGACAGAGCCAAAGGUACAUCGAAAAUAGCAGCAACUAUCAAGGACACUACUGCAGUUGAUUUAAUGUAUGUCCGCAAUUAAUUUGAAUUUAAAGUGCAAUCAACAACUAUGAUCUUUUCUAGAUUACCAAUGUUCUGCAGCAUGUGUUACGUUCUUUACAGUAUUAUUAUAGGCUAUUCAGUAAAGAUUUAUCACUACCUGACAACUGAACUGAUAUAUUAUUAAUGUUCCACCCCUGAAUCAAUUCUUCAAAACAUUUUUGUAAUCUAACAACAGUGAGGUUAUGUGUCAGAACCCAUAUUGGGGUUCAUACAUCUGCUUGAAGAUGCAUAUCUUGAGGUUGCAACGUGACAAACUCUCUAUUAUGAGUUACCCCAAGGAACACUACCUUGCUCGACUCCUCAUUAUUUUUGUAUAUACCCAUUACUGAGUUCUCUUACUCGGAAUGCUAAACACCGACUUUACACCUAUUUCAUCCGAGUUCGUAUAUAAUCACACUUCACUCAUUCCAUUCAAAUCCUAUUCUCAUAACUCGGUAUACUAAACACCGACUUUACACCUAUUUUAUCCGACUUCAUACAAAACCAUAUUUCAUUCACUUAUGUUCAAAAUCCUAAUCUCAUAAAGUAUCCGAGCGCAUCCGACUUGGGGCUAACUCACUCUGAACACCGAGUUCGACACAUUCAAACUCCAAAUCAUACGACAGUUACGAAUCUAUCUCAUUGAAUCCCUGAAUAUCCGCACACUUUAUGAUUCGAACGUUGAGUCAUUAUUUGAUCCACAACCUAAGCCACCUAUAAAAGGAACUACGUUUGGCUUGAUUCUGGAUCGACCCCUUCCAGAUACGUAGGCAGCUAUCACCGCUCAGAUAGUUCAGCCACUCCUCCUCACUCAAACCUUCCCUUUUCCGAUCAUCUUCUCCAACUUUUCGGUAUCAAAUUUAUACUACAUUUACAUUGGCGCCGACUGACUGUGAAUGAAUCAUAACCUGACGAAGACCAUGGCCGGAAUCACACAAGAGCAAUUUGAGACAUUCCAACGACAACUCAAUGAACAACAGGAGCAGAUCAACAAAUUACUAUCUGAAAAUGCUCAACUGAAAAGCUCCACCAUCCCUCCGGCAGCUGGCCAAGCAACUGAUGAAAUUAACACCAACAACCCCAUUGUCAUACCCACUUCCAGCAACACCACCGCCCCCACCAUGGCUGAAAUGCAAGAAACUCACAACCGCCUCCUGCAACUUUCAGCCCAACUUCACAAGAACAACCAGGAGUCUGGUAAGGCCAACACUGCCCAAAGGGUGGCCAACACCACUUUAGAAAAGUAUAGGACAGAGCCCUUACACGAUGACCUCCUUCAUCAGGAACCACCCCCACACUUCAUCCCCCCUAAGUUCACAACCUAUGAUGGAAGUGGUGACCCCAUGGACCACGUCCUACAAUUCAAAACCAGCAUGGCACUGUGGCCCACGUACAAGGACAUCUUCUGCAGACUCUUCUCUGCCUCACUCCGAGGUAGUGCUAUCGACCGGUAUCACCGACUUUCAGAACGCUCAAUCACGUCGUACGACCAGCUCGAGGCACUCUUUGUCACCCAAUAUAUCCACAACAAGCGGCAAAAAAUUGAGGUAACUGCAUUAUUCCGACUUAAACAGGGUGACACCGAAACAACCAAAAAGUGCAUGGCUCGCUUUAAAAAGGAGUGCCUCAAGGCAGAUAGUCCAGAUGAAAACGCAUGCCUGCUAGCGUUUAUCUCGGCCGUUCACCCCGAAACCACCUUGGGGAAAAAUAUCAUCUUAGACGCACCACAGACACUGGAGGACUUGUACGUCCGUGCUGAUAAGUACAUUAAGCUUGAAGAGGCAUUGGCAAAAACAAGAGAACAUGUCUCUGCCGUACAGACAGUAAAGUCCAAAAAUCCUGAGCAGAAAACAACAAAAGGUACCUCCCGAGGAAAGCAAUCUAACAGCUCGAUGAAACACAGGUUUCCUAACCCGUUCAAAUGUUCAUAUACGCAACUAUAUGAACUAAUCAAAGAAGAAGAUUACUUCAAGCCAACAAUUCAUGAGCUUGAACCCAUUGAGGAAAACCCGUACUGCAAGUUGCAUAAUUGUCGACAUCAUGCAACAGAAGACUGUCGGUAUCUCCGAACUUAUUGCCACAAGCUCAGGAUGGAUGGCCACUUGAAUGAUUUCUUGGCAGAGGAGUCCGAUGACCUCCGCCAGAAAAUUAAUGAUAAACGCAAGAGAACAGACAACGCCUCUAAGGCAAAAGGAACAAUAAACAUGAUCAUGGAUACUCGUCCACCUGAAUGGACAUCCCGAGCUAAGCGACAGAAGGUGAAUCAUAUUCACCACAUAUUUCAGCUCACUCAUCAGGCAAUAAUAGCCAAGCAGGUACAAGGAAAGAAUGCACUGAUCUUUUCUGACCACGACUUGAAGAAGGUAUGCUUGCCGCACAAUGAUGCACUAGUUGUCCAUAUCCGACUUGGUGGAUGGACCACUAAGAGAGUGCUGAUAGACCCAGGAAACUCUUGUGACGUACUGUUUAACAAAGCUUUCUCUCAGAUGCUUAUGCCCGACUCGGUCCUACAGACCCCAAAUGUCACUCUCUUCGCUUUCAACUCGACAGAGACAACGGCAAAAGGUCAGCUUACCCUCCCUGUCGCUACAGGAGAAAACGAGGAUGAGGUUACAGUUGAAUGCCUCUUUUAUGUCCUCGAUGUCCCGACGCAGUUCAACGCUAUCCUGGGUCGGAAAUGGAUUCACAAAAUGAGAGUUGUUCCAUCUACAUACCACCAGGUCAUCAAAUUCCCUGGACCAAAUGAUAUAAUGGAACUCCGGGGUGACCAAAUUGAGGCACAUGGCUGCCAUGCCAUUCCUGAGGUCAUACCCCUCCCCAAUAAGAAAGCAAACAAGGUGACAGUCGUUAGCCCUGAAAAGCUCACUGUCAACCAGAUUUCUGAAGCCCCUAACGGCAUGGCCACUACUGAGCCGACCUCUGAAGCCCCUGAUGGCAAGGCCACUACUGAGCCAAAUUCUGAAGCCCCUGACGGCAUGGCCACUACUGAGCCGAUCUCUGAAGCCCCUGACGGCAAGGUCGGUACUGAGCCAAUUUCUGAAGCCCUUGACGGCAAGGCCAUUUCUGAGCCACUCACUGAUGCCACUGAAGGCAAGCUUGUCACCGACUCCCCAACCAUCGAGAAGGGUGAGCCAGUCAACAUAGGCACGGAAGCCGAACCUAGAGUUGUAUAUGUAGGAGCUAAUCUAGAUCCUAUUGUAAAAAAGCAACUCGUUGCAACUUUGAAAAUGAAUAAGAAUAUUUUUGCUUGGUCGUAUAUUGACAUGCCCGGAAUAGAUAUUAAUAUUGCAUGCCAUAAACUUCAUGUCGAUCCCACAAAAAAACCAGUAAAACAAAAGGCACGGAAAUUGGCCCCCCACUUAGCUAAGGCGGUCAAUACCGAGGUCCAGAAACUAAUUGACGCUAAGUUCAUCCGAGAAGUCAAGUAUCCUGACUGGCUCUCGAACAUAGUAGCCGUCGUGAAACCAAACGGCAAAAUUCGAGUAUGCAUAGACUUCACAGAUCUAAAUAAGGCAUGCCCAAAGGACAGCUUUCCACUACCAAGGAUAGACCAGCUAGUGGACGCUACUGCUGGCCACGAGCUCCUCUCGAUGAUGGACGGCUACUCAGGGUAUAAUCAAAUUAAGCUCGCAGAAGAAGAUCAAGAAAAAACAGCAUUCAUUACGGAAAGAGGUACCUAUUGCUACACGGUCAUGCCCUUUGGCCUACGCAAUGCCGGGGCUACAUAUCAACGACUUGCGACACGAAUGUUCGAGGAUAUGAUAGGUGACACCAUGGAGGUAUACGUAGAUGAUAUGAUAGUUAAAAGUAAACUCAAAUCAUCUCACAUAUCCGACCUGGAGAAAACCUUCAAAAGGCUCCAUGACUUCAACAUGAAGCUAAACCCACAAAAAUGCUUAUUUGGAGUAGCAUCAGACAAAUUUUUGGGUUAUCUCAUCACGCAACAAGGAAUAGAGGCUAACCCCGAAAAAAUCAGGGCAAUAUUGGACAUGCCGAGCCCUUCAACGAAGAAGCAAGUCCAAAAGUUAAACGGAAUGUUAGCCGCACUAAACAGGUUCAUUGCUCGUGCAUCCGACAAACAGAGACCAGUGUUACAACUACUCAAGAAAGGCUCCAAAUACGAGUGGACGACAGAAUGCCAACAGGCAUUCGACGAGCUGAAACUUUAUUUAGCAACUCCACCAGUCAUAACGGUACCCCAGCCAGGGGACGUACUCGGGUUAUACCUCGGCAGCUCCGACCAUGCAAUCAGCGCUGUCCUCUUCAGAGAUGAACAAGGUAACGAACGACCUAUUUAUUUCAUUAGUAAAACUCUACUCCAAUCUGAACUCAGGUACUCUAGUCUCGAGAAGGUAGGGUUGGCCCUAUUAUUCGCCUCGAGGAAGCUGAAACCAUAUUUUCAGUCGCACAAAAUUAGAGUUAUAACUGAUGCCCCGUUGAGGCAAGUAUUGGAAAAUAAGAACAAAUCAAGUCGAAUGGCUAAAUGGGCCCAGGAGCUAGGGGAUCACGAACUCAUUUUUACGCCUCGAAAUAGUAAGAAAGGCCAAGUCGUGGCCGAUCUGCUUGUUGACUAUCCAAUCGAAGAUAUCACCUGGAUACCCGAGGAAGAACCGCGUGACGACUUCCCACAAGGAGAACCUAUGUGGAAGUUAUAUGUAGACGGAUCCAUAAAUAAUAACGGAGUCGGGAUAGGUGUGACACUCAUAUCCCCUGAGAAUGUAAUAAUCGAGAAGUCAAUACGGCUGAACUUCACCUCUUCGAAUAACGAUGCGGAAUACGAGGCCCUCGUAAUGGGCUUACUUAUGGCAAAGGACAUUAACUUGCAAAAAAUCAAGAUUUACAGUGAUUCUCAAUUAGUGGUAAGUCAAUUACUUGGGGAUUAUGAAACAAGAGAAGAAACACUUAAGUUAUAUCUCCAAUACACGAAAUGCUUGCUAAGCAGUUUUGAGAAAUGGGAAAUCCAACAUAUUCCCCGGGACGAAAACCGCCACGCAGAUAGUCUCGCCUACCUGGCAUCCCAAGUCGACACGGAAACUGCCAGGGAAAUACAGGUCGAAAUAAGAAGCACUCCAGCAUACGAAGAUAAAAUCCAUCACGUCAAUACAAUCUCAGACUUCAUUGACAUAUCUGAACAAGAAAUCCAAGACUCGUGGAUGGGCCCAAUAAUGAACUACAUCAAGGGAGUCUAUCCAGACGACGAGUCGAAAAUCAGAAAGCUAGAACGAAAAACUAAGAGUUACUUGAUCUUAGAUGGAAGGCUAUACAGGAAAUCGGUCCGAGGACCUUACCUCAGAUGCCUACUACCUCGUCAAGCUCAGAUGAUCCUAGCAGAAAUUCACCAAGGAGAGUGUGGAAACCAUGCCGGGGCUCGUUCCCUAGCACAGAAAGCAAGAAAUCAAGGAUACUUUUGGCCCUACAUGCAGGCCGACUCGGAGAUCUUUGUGCAACAUUGCGACAAAUGUCAACGAUUCUCACCUUUACACAAUCAACCCCCGAGAGAUCUCAAGACGAUAUCUAGCCCAUGGCCAUUUGCCAUGUGGGGGCUCGAUAUUGUAGGACCGCUUUCGAGGGAUAGGAAUAAGAAGCGAUAUCUCUUAGUUGCCACAGAUUACUUUACUAAAUGGGUAGAGGCAAUUCCACUUCGGAAACUUAGACAACAAGAGGUCAAGAAUUUCAUUUGGAAAUACAUAAUCACUCGAUUUGGCCUACCACACACAUUGGUCACUGAUAAUGGCCAACAAUUUUGUGGUAACACGAUUAAGGAGUUUUACUCGGAUUGGUGAAUCAAUCACGCACUAUCUACACCACGAUACGCACAAAGCAAUGGCCAGGCUGAAGCCACUAACAAGACAAUAAUGAAUACGCUCAAGAAAAAGUUAGAGGCGGAAAAAGAUAAGUGGAUACAAGAGCUAGAUAGAGUCCUAUGGGCCUACAGAACGACUCCACGCACCUCAACAUGCGUCUCACCGUUCGCAUUAUGCUACGGUACUGAAGCUGUUAUACCCACCGAGUUGACUUACUUAACAACUAGGUCGGAAUUGGUAGAAUCAGAGGAAAACGAAAAUCUCCUAGCACAUGAGGUAGACAUGUUGGAAGAAAGGCGAGAUAAGGCCAUCAUACAAACAGCUCGUUACCAGCAAAUACUAAGGAGGAGCUACAAUCAAAGAGUAAGGCCAAGGACUUUUCGACCAGGAGACUUGGUCUUAAGACAAACCUUUCAGAACACCAAGGUCGCGGGCGAUGGAAAAUUCAACCCCAAUUGGGAAGGACCCUACAUUAUUCAAUCCGACUUGGGUAAUGGAGCAUACAGAUUAAUUGAUCAUGAAGGAAACCGAGUCGAUAGACCGUGGAAUGGAAAAUAUCUUAAGGCAUACAUUCCAUAGAAUACACACUUCAAGCUAAGGCAUCAAUUCUACACUUAGAAUAUUUAAGGCAUGCAAAAGAUUACCUACAUGGAUAAAACAACUUCUUCCAAAACGAGGUAUAUAUUUAAACCAUUCACAUUCGAAGAACCGACAAGAGUCGAAAGUAUACCACUUCAGUUUCAUACAGCAUGAUACUUGUUUCAUAAACAAACAAAAACAAAAACCUCACAUCUCUCAAACAAAGAAAAAAGCUAGGCAACAGCCUCAUGAUCCAUGGCCUCAGCUCCUUCACCCUCCUGCACGCCGAUCUCAUCAACCUGCGCACUAGCCUCGGCCACUUCAUCAUCACGCUCGAGUUCACUGGCCAGGUUAGCAACUCUCUCCAUCUCCACUUGUUGGUCUGAUUCGAAUUGGGCUUGGGCUUCGGCAUUGAUCUGCUCGUUAUCGGCUAAGGGAUCAAAGUCGGGAAUGACUCCCUUAUGCUUCAGCUCACGACAGAUUCCACGUCGCUGCCAGUAAUAAGCCAUCUUCUGCCAAGCGGUGAUGCUCUCAACCGACUUGGCAUUGUCAGCCUCAUACCUCUCAUUUGUAGCUUUCAACUCGGCAUCAAGUGCGGCAUUCUUCUUGUUGACCUCCAACACUUCAUUGCUGACCUCCAACACUUCAUUGUUGAGGGCCCUCACUUUCUUCUCCUCCUUGUCUAGCCGAUCGCGCAGCUUCUUCAACUCGGCACAUUCGGCAGCAAGUGCCUCCUUAGCCUUCCUGGCCUCCCGUUCCUUCUCAUUAGCUCUCUCGAGCAGAGCCAUCCACUUGCAAUGAAUAACGUUCAUCUGAAACGAGGGAUCACCCGAGAUUAGCCAAUGCAAGUAUUGGGGAAGAAAUAGGAAAGUCGAAUAGAAUAUACCUUGUACAUAGACGAGCUCAGAUCCCUCAAGUCGUCCAUGAUCGAACGCUCGCAUACCCGAGCCCCAUCAGCAUCUAAAGCCAUGUGUUCCAUCAGGGUGAUACACAUGUCUUCAUCCUCCCAAGCAGCAUCACUGAAUCUCACAUAAGUAUCCUUGUAAGGAAAUACAGGAGCAAAAUGGCCAUCAGCAGGGCGAGUCGGAGGAACCUCAUCAUCUUGCUGGACCGACUUUCCUUUCUCCUGCUUCGCCUGCUGGGCACGAACUCGCUGAGCCUCCCUCUCUUUCCCAGCUCUCUCAGCAUCGUUCAAGAUUGUUAUGCCAGGUGCAGCGACGGUUACACCCGUUGACUUAGAGCUCUUCCUCUUCUUCGAGGACUCCAGCUCGAUCUCCCCCCUACCGAACUGGCUACCCGGUGGACCAGGAAUAGGCUUUGGAGGCAUCGGUAGAGCGGCUCGGGUCACGAUAGGUGGAUCUCCGGGUCGGGGACAAGCAAUUGUGGCAACCGCCACAGCGGUAGGUAAGUCCUUUUUCUUUCUUACUCUUUUUGCCUUCGAGACCGCUGGCUCGGUACGUACACCACCAGCACCUUUUCUUGGACAGGGAUCCUUAAACAGAUGCGCAAGAUGAGGCAGAAUCUCACGCUUGCGUUCCCAAGACUCUUCUGCAAACUCGAGAAUGUUACCCGGAAGGAGACGCCCGUCAAUCUUUUGAUUAUAAUCCCGAGUAUAAUCUACAGUACCUACAAAACGAGUCAGAGACUGCGAAGGAACACGAAAAUAAAGCAAGUGCAAAAUACAAAGCAAACGACCUAAAUACCUAUACGGGGAAUGCGCAAAUGGUUCAGAUAAGCACUAGGCUUGAUGAAUGAGCCUCUAAUCCUAUAGCAGGCCGACUUCUUCCAAUUAUCAUUGGAACUCGGUGCAUUGUAAAGGUCGUGAGGACAAUGCUCAGCCCUCCUAUUAAGCGAAAAGGAAAAAUCACCAGACCGACCCUCCACACAGGUGAAAUACGCUACGACGUCAGCCUUGCAUAUGUCAUAGCCGAGCUUGUUCAACUCCUCGAAUAUUAGCAUAACCCGCCAGAAGCUGCUAUUCAUCAUUAUGGGGGCCUUAUCAUAAUGAUUCAGGAUGUCACAGACAAACUUCGAGAAGGGAAGUCGCAUCCCAGCUCUCAGUUGACCCUCACAGAUCAAAGUCGAUGUGUCAUCCCCACCAAGAUCGAAAAGCCUGCUAUCUACCCUAUACAUCUCGAGAUCUCGGAUCCUAAUGUCGUAUGCUUCUCUCACCUUCGGAAAGGCUUUCCGAGCUCUCUCGACAUCUAUCUCAUGCCGGCUAAAUAUCUCUUCAUCAUCUACAGCUCGGCUAGUACUUGGCUCACCACCACCAGUAUUCUCGCUAACUCGCUCACUACCACUACUCAUCUUCACCAAAUGAAAUGAAGAACAGAUGCAAAGCAACAAUGGCGGAAAGCAGAAAACAAAACAGAAAAUCAAAGGAAAAGCAACAAACAGAAACGAAAACGAAAAUGCAAACACCAAAAUUACGCUCAAGCAACAAAUUCCGGCAACGUGAACGGAAAAGAAACAACAACUUCAAAGCAAAUCAGGCAUAAGGAGAAAGGCAGAAAACAGAGAAGAAACGAAAGACUUACCUUCGAAAAGACUAAGCAGCAGCUUUAAACCCAGUACGAAAACCCUUGGUUUCUUCCAGCAGUUACACGCAAUGUGUUUUAUAAAAACAUGUGCACGAUCUCAACCGCACAUCUCCUCAGCCAUUGACGGUCAGAUGUUAAUCCCUAAAUCUAACCGCCCAACUCUUCACUCUCCCACCAAACCACGUCCGACCUUUCAAAUUUGAAAAUUCAAAAAACCGCAAGUGACUCCCACGUGUGCAGACUACACACGUAUCUCAAGGAACAAUCAUUCCCCUAAGCCUCGAAAAUCUAAGCUAUCAUUCACAUCAGCACACAAUGGAAUCUUUAAACUCUUGGCAUUCCAUGGAACAUAUCUUAACAGCCGACUUCAUUUUCAUUUACCCUAAAGCUAAUUACCAACCUUCAGCCCAAAUGAAAAGGGGCUAUGUAUAUACCCAUUACCGAGUUCUCUUACUCGGAAUGCUAAACACCAACUUUACACCUAUUUCAUCCGAGUUCGUAUAUAAUCACACUUCGCUCAUUCCAUUCAAAUCCUAUUCUCAUAACUCGGUAUACUAAACACCGACUUUACACCUAUUUUAUCCGACUUCAUACAAAACCAUAUUUCAUUCACUUCUGUUCAAAAUCCUAAUCUCAUAAAGUAUCCGAGCGCAUCCGACUUGGGGCUAACUCACUCUAAACACCGAGUUCGACACAUUCAAACUCCAAAUCAUACGACAGUUACGAAUCUAUCUCAUUGAAUCCCUGAAUAUCCGCACACUUUAUGAUUCGAACGUUGAGUCAUUAUUUGAUCCACAACCUAAGCCACCUAUAAAAGGAACUACGUUUGGCUUGAUUCUGGAUCGACCCCUUCCAGAUACGUAGGCAGCUAUCACCGCUCAGAUAGUUCAGCCACUCCUCCUCACUCAAACCUUCCCUUUUCCGAUCAUCUUCUCCAACUUUCCGGUAUCAAAUUUAUACUACAUUUACAAUUUUCACCGACAAUGGUGUACACAUAGAUGCCAUCUCUGGCCAAAUUCCACCUAACAUGAGUGACAUGUAAUAAUCGACAACAUUUGGUGCAGUUUGUAUUUAACAUAAGAAAUAAUGCUUUGUUUAUUGUAGGGGUGGCAAUCGGGUCGGGUCGUGUCAAGUUCGUGUCGGUCUUAACGGGUUGAUGUGUUUUUUCUCUAAACCCGAACCCAACCUGUUAACCUGUUUAGUCUUUUUUUCCUAAACCCGAAUCUGACCCGCUAAUUAAACAGGUCGGGUUCGGGUUGACCUGUUUAAACCCGCUUCAGAUUUAUUAAUUAUUUUUUUCUAUCGCCACUACUGUUAUUUAUAAUUGAUAUUCAUGAUAAUCAAUAUUUAAUAUAAAUUAAUCAACUUAAUUUCAUCAAAAAUUAAAACUAUUAGUAAAAGACAAAAUUCAAAAAAAAAAUCUUGAAAAACAAGGACACAGUAAAACAAACAAUUACCAUAAAGAGCAUAGAGAUGAAAAACGUUAACAUUAAAACCAAUUAUAAACAUGAUCAAAACAUCAACCUGAGUUCUAAAAAUAAAAAAACACUAAUCUGGUUUCAAUUGAUUAAUUAAAACAUCAUGUUCCUUAAACCCAAAAUAAAUCAGAAAAACAAAAAAAAUAUUUACACAAUCUCUAACUUCGAUAUAGAAAAAUAAGAACCACCAACAAACAAGUUUUUAUUAAUCAAUUCAUUACUAUUAUAUAUUUCUCCGUAGUUAAAAAAGAAGAAAGAAAACAAUUGUUGAGAAGAAAUGAAAAAGAGAGGUGAUUUCAAAAACUGAAAAUAAAAAAUAUUAAUUUUAAACGGGUUUUGGGUUGACCCGACCUGUUAGUGGUCAAACCCGAACCUGACUUGUUUAUAAACGGGUCUUACAGGUUCGGAUGAAAAUAACCCGAAAACCCGAUAAGACUAAACCCAAAUUUGUUUAUCUCGGGUCAGGUUCGUGUCGGGUUAACGGGUUGCGGGUCAUUUUGCCACCCCUAGUUUAUUGUGAGUGAGAAAUUAAGUUCUUAUUCUCCGAUAGCCAGAAAAUUCAAAAAUAAAUGAGCAUAAGGGAUCAUAUUAUGUCACAUACCAGUAAGGGAGCAACGGAAGCAAAAACCAAUGUCUUCAAGUUGCCGAUAUGACCAUUAGACAUGUAAGCACCAUUCAAUGGUCCAAAAUUGGUUGUACAUGACAAAAUGUUGAAUAAAAUAUAAUAGAAUUCAGCAUAGCAAAGGGCAAUGACCUCCAACCACAAGGUUUUUCAAUUCUGUCCACCCUUAAAAGAUGAACUAAACUACCAAGGUCUGACUUAAGAAAAUAUUCCUGGAAAAUUCUUUCCAUGGUAGCCUUUGAAGCUACACACAUAAAAGUAGCCUGAACAUAUUAGAGGUUGCUCAGGCAUGGAACAAUACCUUAGGGUGAUUAUUUCACAUUAAAUCAUAAUUUAUUUAAUUUUGGUAACUGAUGCAACUUUCUUCAUAUGCUCAACACUAUGAUAGGGGCUUUUCAGUUUGCACCAUACAACUUCUGAAUUUCCGUUAUGAGAUGGAUUUCAUUAAUUGUUUGUUUCGCAGAUUUUGAAGUGUUCGUUUGUGCAAUAGAAUUUACAAACAGUGCAUGGGAAGACUUUUUUUUUUUUUUUUCAUUUUGUGGUAAGACUUGUGCGUAUCAUGGUUCUUUUGCUACAGUUGAUGUACAUCAUUUAAUGAAAAAAUACCUUUAUUUGUGCCGGUGACAUUAAAUUGUCAGAGUUAAAACUGAUUUUUAUUCUUUUGAUGUUUUCAACCAACAGUGUUGAAUUAGUUCAGGAAUUUAAUCUUUUUUUUUAUUCCUUUUGUUGCGUUAAGUCUAAUGAGACUUACUCCAGUAGACCUACAGUAGCAAAAGUCAGUAAACCUUAUAUUUCGCAGGUUUGAAAUAUAUCACUGUAUUCCAAGAAAAUACUCGCCUUUGUUGGGUUGCUGGUUUCGACAAACGCCAAGACAAGAUGGAUAGAUGGCCAUAUGUUUUUAUCUUAUCAGGUUUCAUAUAGACAGAGUUAAGGGAACAAUUGGCUAGCUUUAUCACUAUUGCAUAAGACUUUUGAUCGGGGCAUCUAUAUCUAUCAUGUGAAUUAUAUUAACAAGAGAUGUAGGAUUUGCAGUAGUAUUAGAUAAUGUGAAUCUAUAUGACUAUAUGUGACUCAGAUAUUAUUACCCAAAUAUUAGUGAGUUGCUUUGAAAUUUUCGUAGAGACACAAUGCUGCAGGUUGUGAGUUUGAAUUGAGAUUGCAUAUUGUUGGCUAUUGCUAAAAGUGUACGUACAAACUUCAUUUAUAAUUUUUGACAAAGCUGUGGCUACUUACCGUAACAUUUGUAAAAUUAGCUUAAUGUGAGGUAAAAUAUUUAAGAGUAUAUUAAUGGUAGUGCGUACAGAAUGUAAAUCCUUCUAUAUGAUAACAAACUUAUGUUAGUCACUAUCUCUCUACGUGCCCACAACUUCAAGGUAAAAUAGAGACCACAACCAUGCUGCCAACCCUUGACCAUUGGGUUCAAACCAAUUCUACAGAAGUUCCUGACCACAACCAUGCUGCCCAAUAAGGGUCUUCCACAAGUUUACAAAAACUGGACAAGUGAUGAAAAUGUUGUAGGAAAAUAUACACCGAUAUAUUAUUGUUCUAAAAUAAAUAAAAAGGGAACAGAUGAUGCAAACCAGAAUAGAUGGAUGAAGGACAAGAUUUAGAUCGAGUCGAGAUAAAAUCUCUCUCCUUGAGACAUUAUUCGCCCCGUACAUGUGCUGAACGGUUUAUCAAUGGCGGACUGUCUCCCAGGAUACAACGAUCUAUCCUUCUUAGCGUAGCAGCACUUCAAACGCAUAGAAGACGGCGAACCAAUUCUUUGUUAUACUCUCUCUCUCUGUGAAGUAUCUUUCCAGUCCAGUUAGUCAAAGCCAUGGGCCUGACAGCUCUUGAUCAAACCCAUGAUUCAGUAAAUCGGCCAAACUCUAUAGGUUAAAUGGGCCCAGGUGCUAACACCUCUUGGAGAAGACGAGAGAGAGAGAGAGAGAUGCAGAAAGGAAGAAUCGAUUUGUGGCGUCUGUUCACACAUACAGAAUUUCCCGAGUUCAAAUAAAUUUUUCAUUAUCUCCAUUUGUCUUACUGGCUAUAGAGGACGUUCAAGUUUGUUCACCUAUUCAAUCAAUUGAAUGAACAUACUUGAAAUUCAACAGUCGACAAGUUUCCAAUGGAAAACAACUUUCAAUGAUGUCGAUCUUCAACAUCAAACAGACAAGUCUGGUCUCUCUCACUCUCUCAACUUAGUUUCCUUUAUAGUAGGAUUUGAUACCAUAGACUAGAAUUCUACAUGACAACAUGUUAAUCGAGAAGAAAUUUUGGAUUUUUGUUCCAACUAGCACUUCACUGGUUCAAACACCCAAUAUUGAUAAGAAGAAAUUUUGUAAAUAAAACUGCAUUCUUCAUUCAAGUUAGUCAUUGUUUAUUCAAAUAAACAAACAUAAGCAUUUUUAAAUCCACAGAUUCUGUAGAUGCGCAAUUAUACCAUAAACUUUGUAAAUGCAGAAAUAAGUUAAGUGAGCAGAGUGCUGAAGAAGAUGAUCAAAAAUAGAAGUGGGAAGAGAUUUGAGAAUGAGAAGUGACUGAGCUAUCUUAGAAGAUAGUUGCCUACGUAUCUGGGAGUGACCAGGUCCCAGAAUCAAGCCUACGUAGUUCAUAUUUAUAGGUGAUUGGGACAACAACUAGCUCAUUAAUUGUCCAACGGUAGGAUCAAUUAAUGAGCAUACGUUACAAAGUGAUUGUGAAAUAUAUUGUAACUGAAGACAAUAAGUGUGUGGAGUAAGGGUGAGCUCGGAGUGAGGUCGAGCAAGAUAAGCCCCAGCUCGAGUGAGCUCGAGCAAAAGGGUGUUCACGUCGUUUGACGACGAAUGAAUAAAGAAUCUAAGUCGGAUCAUGAAGGUUUUAGUGAGCUCGAGGUGAAGUCGAGUAAAAAGGUGUUCACCUCGUUUGACGUCGAAGGUGUAUAAAUUGUGUUCAAAGUGGUCGCUUAAGUGAGCUCGAGGGAGCUCGAAUACAUAGGUAUAUACAUAGCCCCUUUUCAUUCAUAUUGAAGUGGGCGAGUUGAAAUGAAGUAGAAUGAGCUGACUUCGAUUUGGAUGAAAACAAAUAUGUAUCAUUGGAAUGAGCAGUGAAUUGCCUUGGAGUAGGGGGUUUCUUGUGAGCUCGCUUUUGGUGUUGCACUUGUCUUUUGAUGUAGAUAGGUGGCUCUAUAAUGCGAGGGACGAAGCUUUUGGUCUCGUCUUUGGAUUUGUGUUGAGCUUUCUUGAGUUGUCCAAUGUCUUGAUCGACAAGGUAAGUAAUGAUGCACGUGAGCUCGAUUUUGGUGUUACACUGAGUUCGGGUGAGGUAGAGAAAAAUAGUGUCCACCUCGUUUGAGCUAGAUGAUGAGAGUGAACUACAUAUGUCAAAUGAGCUCGGGCGAGCUAGAGGAAAAUAUUGUCCACCUCGUUUGAGGUAGAUGAGAGUGAACUAGAUAUGUUAAGUGAGCUCGGGUGAGCUAGAGAAAAAUAGUGUUCACCUCGUUUGAGCUAGAUGAGAGUGAACUACAUAUGUUAAAUGAGUUCGGGUGAGCUAGAGGAAAAUAUUGUCCACCUCAUUUGAGAUAGAUGGGAGUGAACUAGAUAUGUUAAGUGAGCUCGGGUGAGCUAGAGAAAAAUAGUGUUCACCUCGUUUGAGCUAGAUGAGAGUGAACUAGAUAUAUUAAGUGAGCUCGGGUGAGCUAAAGGAAAAUAGUGUUCACCUCGCUUGAGUUAGAUGAGAGUGAACUAGAUAUGUCAAGUGAGCUCGGGUGAGCUAGAGGAAAAUAGUGUUUACCUCGUUUGAGCUAGAUGAGAGUGAACUAGAUAUGUCAAGUGAGCUCGAGUGAGCUAGAGAAAAAUAGUGUUCACCUCGUUUGAGCUAGAUGAGAGUGAACUAGAUAUGUCAAGUGAGCUCGGGUGAGCUAGAGGAAAAUAGUGUUCAUCUCGUUUGAGCUAGAUGAGAGUGAACUAGAUAUGUCAAGUGAGCUCGGGUGAGCUAGAGAAAAAUAGUAUUCACCUCGUUUGAGCUAGAUGAGAGUGAACUAGAUAUGUCAAGUGAGCUCGGGUGAGCUAGAGAAAAAUAGUGUUCACCUCGUUUGAGCUAGAUGAGAGUGAACUAGAUAUAUUAAGUGAGCUCGGGUGAGCUAAAGGAAAAUAGUGUUCACCUCGCUUGAGUUAGAUGAGAGUGGACUAGAUAUGUCAAGUGAGCUCGGGUGAGCUAGAGAAAAAUAGUGUUUACCUCGUUUGAGCUAGAUGAGAGUGAACUAGAUAUGUCAAGUGAGCUCGGGUGAGCUAGAGAAAAAUAGUGUUUACCUCGUUUUAGCUAGAUGAGAGUGAACUAGCUAUGUCAAGUGAGCUCGGGUGAGCUAGAGAAAAUAGUGUUCACCUCGUUUGAGCUAGAUGAGAGUGAACUAGAUAUGUCAAGUGAGCUCGGGUAAGCUAGAGGAAAAUAGUGUUCACCUCGUUUGAGGUAGAUGAGAGUGAACUAGAUCUGUUAAAUGAGCUCGGGUGAGCUAGAGAAAAAUAGUGUUCACCUCACUUGAGCUAGAUCGAUGAGAGUGAACUAGAUAUAUUAAGUGAGCUCGUAGUUGUCUUGGUGGAGAUCUCGUUUUACAGUGGACUUUGGUGAGCUCACAACUAUCUUGGUAGAGAUCUCGUUGACAGUGGGCUUUGGUAAGCUCGUGUAUGUCUAGCUUGGUAGAGAUCUCGUUGACAAAGGGCUAAAGUGAGCUCACAGUUGUCUUGGUAGGGAUCUCCUUCGACAGUGGGCUUUGGUGAGCUCACAACUAUCUUGGUAGAGAUCUAGUUGACAAUGGGCUUUGGUGAGCUCGCAUAUGUCUUGGUAAAGAUCUCAACAUAAAGUGAGCUCGCAGUUAUCUUGGUAGAGAUCGCAUUGAUAGAUGGUUGAAGUGAGCUCGUAGUUGUCUUGGUGGAUCCCGUUUGACAGUGGGCUUUCGUGAGCUCACAACUAUCUUGGUAGAGAUCUUGGUGACAGUGGGUUUUGGUGAGCUCACACAUGUAUUGGUAAAGAUCUCAUUGACAAAGGGCUUAAGUGAGCUCACAGUUGUCUUGGUAGAGUUCUCAUUGACAUGGGGCUGAUGUGAGCUCGUAGUUGUCUUGGUGGAGAUCUCAUUUGACAGUGGGCUUUGGUAAGCUCACAACUAUCUUGGUAGAGAUCUCGUUGACAAAGGGCUAAAGUGAGCUCGCAGUUGUCUUGGUGGAGAUCUCAUUUGACAGUGGGCUUUGGUGAGCUCACAACUAUCUUGGUAGAGAUCUCGUUGACAAAGGGCUAAAGUGAGCUCGCAGUUGUCUUGGUGGCCCUCGACUUGCCAAGAAGUGGGAUGACCUCAAGAAUUGCAUGGCAUAUAUGUGCCUCAAUUUGGUCACCUCGGAGUUCCAUGAUGCCUCUGAGGCCAGGAAAUUUGAUGACUUGGUGAUAGGUAGAUGGAACAGUUUUCAUCCCGUGGAUCCAUUUUCUACCCAAGAUUGCAUUGAACUUAGUUGUAACGUCUAACAUGAAAAAUGUGCACUUGACAGUGACUUCAUCUUCUCCAGUUGAGAUUGGGAGGUAGAUCUCACCAUUUGUUUCAGUUUAGUGGAAUUGAAUGCAAAGGUGACUUGUAGGUCAUGAAGCAUUGAGUCUGGCAUCACGCAUGAGCUGCCUACUAGUUGUUGGACUACUUUUUCUUUGUUUGUGAGCUGAAAUAUAUGGUGAAUGUGUUGACUUCAUCAGUGGUGGCUCCGUUUGGUGGAACGGUGGUGGAACUCUUCAGUUGAACAUUUUCAGUCACCAACUUGUUGAUUAUUGGUUUGUUUGUGAAGUUGCUCAAACUGUUUGAGUGAUUCCGGCAAUGGUCUUUGUCUGGUUGAUAUUCGAUCACAGUCAGUCGGCGCCAAUGUAAAUGCAGAAAUAAGUUAAGUGAGCAGAGUGCUGAAGAAGAUGAUCAAAAAUAGAAGUGGGAAGAGAUUUGAGAAUGAGAAGUGACUGAGCUAUCUUAGAAGAUAGUUGCCUACGUAUCUGGGAGUGACCAGGUCCCAAAAUCAAGCCUACGUAGUUCAUAUUUAUAGGUGAUUGGGACAACAACUAGCUCAUUAAUUGUCUAACGGUAGGAUCAAUUAAUGAGCAUACGUUACAAAGUGAUUGUGAAAUAUAUUGUAACUGAAGACAAUAAGUGUGUGGAGUAAGGGUGAGCUCGGAGUGAGGUCGAGCAAGAUAAGCCCCAGCUCGAGUGAGCUCGAGCAAAAGGGUGUUCACGUCGUUUGACGACGAAUGAAUAAAGAAUCUAAGUCGGAUCAUGAAGGUUUUAGUGAGCUCGAGGUGAAGUCGAGUAAAAAGGUGUUCACCUCGUUUGACGUCGAAGGUGUAUAAAUUGUGUUCAAAGUGGUCGCUUAAGUGAGCUCGAGGGAGCUCGAAUACAUAGGUAUAUACAAACUACAUAAUUAUUAUUAUGAUCAUGUCCAUAUUAGAAAACAAUGAAUAAAGAAUGGACUAAUGUCUAACAUGGUUCAUCAUGCAAAUGCAGCACCAAAAUAUCUAAUUGACUUCUCUGUCAUCACAACCAUCGUACAGUAUCAUAGUACAUAACUCUUGUAAUAGAGUAUCCAGAGAAAAAAAAAUAUAAAAUUUUCGAAUUUAAUCGAAAAACCAAUGUUCUGCAUCAUAAACGUUAGAACAGUAAUAAAACAUACAAAAAUAAUGUCUUAAAAUUGUAGGAAAAUAUACACCGAUAUAUUACUGUUCUAAAAUAAAUAAAAAGGGAACAGAUGAUGCAAACCAAAAUAGAUGGAUGAAGGACAAGAUUUAGAUCGAGUCGAGAUAAAAUCUCUCCUUAAGACAUUAUUCGCCCCGUACAUGUGCUGAACGGUUUAUCAAUGGCGGACUGUCACCCAGGAUACAACGAUCUAUCCUUCUUAGCGUAGCAGCACUUCUUAACGUACCUAGUUAGGAUGUACGUAUGUUAAAGUGUCCAUGUUAUUUUUCUUGUUCAAGGACGAGUACGUACCUAGUUAAAGCAUACGUACGUCAUCGUGAUUUUUUGUGUUUUCAGCCCAUUUGUCUUCCCUUCCAAACCCUAAAAGUAUAAAUAGGUUUUCAAGAGAAGAAUAAGUCAAUUUUUUUGCCGUCCAAUUCCAUCUUCUCUUUCUUCUCAUCUCAGGUUAGUUUAGGUGAUUGAACUCAUGUUUUGGCAAACAUAGGAGAUGCCAAAACGAGUGGUAAAAGUAGGGUGUAUCAACAAAAUGGCCCUUCUUCCCUUCUUCUAGUUUAACUGAUGGGCAAUUGGAAAUGCAUCAAAACUCAGAAGGCUGCAAUUAAAGUCGGCUUGUGACAAGUUACACAACAGUGUCCAUGGGAUAACACCUCUAUCGCUGGAACACAAGUUAAACAACAGUAGAUAGCUCUAGAAAGAAAGGUUACAGUAAAAAUAAGAAAGAGAGGUAUACAAAUGAAAAGGUUAGCUGCCACCAAACUUAUUUCCAACUCGAUACCUCCUCAACCAUCGAUCAGGUAAUGAGAUAAAAUAUAGGGAGAACUAGCAAAAAAUUAUACUGUUUGCACAUUCUACAACUGGGCUUCACAAUUUGAAGACUGCAAAUCCAUGACAAAUCUCAACAACAGCUCAAGUCACAACAACUAAUACCAGUUGCAGACUAGCACAUAUCAUACCAUAACACAUCCAUUCUAUUGCAACCUGCAUAUCAGACAAGACCAGCCUAAAAUUAAAACCAUACACCUCACUUUGUCAUAACAAAACUUAGAAUGAUAAAACCUGCUUGAGAUAACCACUUCAAUCAAACUGCCUGUGCAACUAUCAGUUGAAUAAAUAGGCAAAGCACGAAGCAUAAGAAAUGCAUGAUGCAACUCAACACUGAAAUAAAUUGGGGACCUAAAAACGCAAAGAUCAGGGUAACAGCUAAAGAAUAUUAGACAAAUUAUCAAAUCAGGGAUUUGGUAUAGGGUGCCACUGGGAACAACAAUCAAACAUAUGGGGCAGAGCACGAUCAACUCAAUUGGCAGCAACAUUCUGACUGACACUAAUCGCAUAUGCUUCGAUAGUCAAACUUGAAAAAUACUAAUCAAACAGCACUGAAUAAUAAUUUUUAAAAUAUCAGAAGACCCAAGUAUUUUCCUUCAAAACUACAAUCACAACUUCAAAAUAAAGAAGAUUCAAUAACAAAUCAAUGUCCAACAAACAUAAUCAAAUCAGUGUCCAACAAACAUAAUGGCAGGUGCAAAAAUCAACAUUUCACUCUACAAAAUUACAUAACACCACAUAUGGUGCAUACAAUUAAGAAAUCAAAAACACUUCAGAAACUGGGGGAAAAGGCUUCAAUUAGUAAAGAAAGGCAUGUAAUAUUAAGGUAAUCUAGUGCACUUGUGACCCAAACACAAGUCCGAAAAUUAUUGCUAUUUGAUAAAAUAUGUUAGUUGUGCACACAGGAAUACAAACAUCAAUGACAAGAAUGCACUUACAAACCAACAUCUAGCAAAAAAGAGUGAUAGUAAAUAAGUAUCAGGUCCUAUACUUGGAACAGGUUCAACACAUCAACACACACGUGAACGGGCAAGACAAUUAUCACCAAGGAAGAAGGCUUAUAAAAAAGAAUAGGAUAGUGUGAUUCAAUAGACAAAUAUAAAUCCCACAAACAUUAGCUAGAACUUCACAAUAUGUACAUUGAAUCACAACAUGAACUUCUCAAUAAAUCUAACAUUCAUAUCCAGAUCAAAAUUUAACAAACAAUACUAUUAUGUUCUCCAACAAUCUUUUAAGAGUACAUCAAGCUUGGAAACAAAAUACCACUACAAUUAAAAAUCAUCAAAAGAGGUUACAAUUUUCUUGAAACAUAUAAAUACAGAACUAAAUCUGCAAAAUAUGAAAUUUGAUAAUAAACAACCUCCACAUCUAAUCAAAGAGACUGAAUCCCAUAUCAUCAUCGCUUUCUUCCUUUGGCUCUUCCUGCAACAUCAAAAGCAACAAAAUAGAAUCAGAACAAUAAUCUCAAAAUUAAAAAAAA